rnacentral:lncRNA from 1 species
UUCUUGUCAAAAGAAGAUAGUGAUGAAAAGUAGGUCAUGAAUAUUAGAAGAAAAAUGAUAGUUUACUGCUUAUUUACCUCUGUCAAGGAAACAUGACUGGUCUCACUGUUGUAAUACAGGUAUAAGAUUCAUCACAUCAUUAUCACUGUAGUAUAAUAUUUCAACAGAGAGAUUGAGAUAGAUCUCUUCAUAAUUUCCAGUGACGCAUGUUCUAGAUAAUUUCAACAGCAUUUCCAAUGAGUUGCAACCUUGAACAUCCAAAAGAUCUAAAUCCAUCUUUUCAAGUCCCUGAAGCUGAGUAAGUUUCUCUCAGUCUUUAAUUACUAGAGAUUGUAACUUCUCACAUCCUGUCAAACUUGGCAAAGUCUCUAUUGUCAUGCAUCUUGUAAUAUCCAAUUUUUCUAAGAACUACACUGUCAAAACCUUAAUUUUUGACCAGAUUGUUGCUCCUGAUGGCCUGUAAUUCCUCCAAACACCAUGAUUUUGGAUAGAGAAGCCUUUUAAUGGAAUUGCAGUCAUGUAUAAAUAUGCCCUCCAAGAACUCCAAAUCAUCAUGGGUCUGAAUUUCAACUAGGUUAUCGCAAUGCUUGGCGCAUAAUCAUUUCAGAUGGAUUAAUUGUGAAAGGGCCAAUCUUUCAAUCAAACUGCACUUUUUUAUUUUAUUUUAUCAAAACUCUUCCAAGUACUUGAAUCUGUCGAGCUUAAGCAAUAUCAGCUUAUCACACUCCUCAAUACAGAAUUUCAAGGGUCUUGAGGAAAUCUCAUGGAUGUCUUCAACUAGAUGGCAUGCCUUAAAAUGGAGUUUUUUUGGGUGGAUUAGGCUAGAAAGCUGUGGCAACCUGGGACUCUGACAAGAGAUCAACAGAUAUGUCAAGCUUGAAGGAAGCUCUGGCAGCAACCGGAGCUUGUCAUAGCCCAUUAGGCUAAGGCAUUGGAGAGAAGAAACAUUCCGAAUGCUUUCUGGCAGGGUAGAUAGCGGCGCACAAGUGAUAUAGAGAAUCUCGAGUGAAGACAAGUCACCGAUUUCACUUGGAAUUGCUUUUUCAGACAAGGCACGAUAGGAGACUUAUAGUGCGCAGAUUUUUCAACACCGCCAAUAGCACUAGGAAGCUUUUCAAUCCCAGGAUCACUAAUGUCCAAAUGUUGCAUAUUCAGCAAAUCUCAAAUUAAGCUAGGAUUUCUUUGAGUGACUCACAACAGCAGGCACUCAAUUUCUCCAGCUUCAUCAGAGAACCGAUAGAUGUAGGAAUCUCAGUAAUAUCAGCAAAAUCUAACAUAAGUUCUUCUAAUUUGACAGAUUCACCUCUUUUCAGUUCUAACUCAUGUAACAAUCCGCUCUUGGUCCAGUCCGUUGCCACAUUCUUCAUCCAAGAUCCCAAAUUCUCUUGUGGCUACUAAGAUUGCCAUGCUCUCCCAUGCUCUCCCCAAUUUCAACUUGGUGAACCAACCAAACACUGAGACACAUGUUCUCCCAUCCCGUUUUGAUCUUAUCUUCUUCGCUUUCCCCUCCUCCUCUGCAAUAAACACACUAAGUUAUAGCUACUACCAAUAGCUUCCUUCCUUUCCAAACAACUCAAAUAGCCAUUUUCACGUGAACCACCGAUUCUUUCUUUGUCAUUUAACACCACAUUCAAAGAGAAACCUCAAAUCAAGACGAUGUCAGAUAAUCAAAGCCGCUAGCUUUUAUUGCAGGAAGAACUCGAAAGAAGAAUAGAAAAAACUCUUUUUUCUACAUCAAUUCUCGUUCAAGAAAUAGAGCCCACAUAAACUCCAUCCACACUAGAGACUCAGACAAACUUUUGAUAGAGAAUUGCAUAAAACAACUCUAUACUUCACUUUAGAACCCAGUGCUUGAUCAGACUGACAUAAGUGUACAAGAACAAAUCCAUAGAGAGAGAGAGAGAGAGAGAGAGAGAGAGAGAGAGAGAGACCUGGUUUUAGAGGUGGAAACGCUAAAAACAACCGUGGAGGUGCGACUCCAAGCGACAUGAGUUCCAUGCGUCCACCUAAGAGAAUCUCGAAGGAGAAAGUAAUGCUGCUCUUCAAGAACGAACUAGUCUCUCUACUUGAUUUUAGGUAUGAAAAUGUACAUGGCUGUGUCUCUUCUGCUUUUAGAUUCAUGCUUAAACAAAUCAAGUUUGAGAUUAUACUGCCAAAGUGAUUGCAAAAUGCCUACAUAUGAAUAUUCCGACAUAACCAGACCAGAGAGAUGAUUUUACACUAAUGAAUGCCAUUCUUUUGUGUUCAAAAAUCUUCCAAAUGGGAAACUCAUGUCUUCUUGGAAAGCUGUUCAUUGAAACUCUUGGCUGCAAUUUACAGAUUAUUUGCUGAUCUCUUGGCAUUUGUUUUUUCCACGAAAAAAGUCUCUCCCAGUCACAAAACUGUAGCUUAAAGUGGACAUCUAAAUGGUAAUCUUGUCAGCAACUCUCAUUUUAAGCUUGACUCCACAUAUAGAACCAUCUACACAUGCGGUCUUCCUCCAAGUGAUUUGUGAUGCAGCCUUUGCUAAAGAGUAGCACAAGUUCAAAGCUUGCAAAGGACUAAUACACCACAUGAGAAGAGGUCGACUUAUAUGAAGAAUCCUUUGAAGAGUAAUAACAACACAGAGCCAAUGACAACCGCCAAUAGCAAAAAACUCCAGAAUGCCUUUCUAUACUGACAUAGCUCAUUCUUGCCCGUAUCUCCAACCCAUGGUGUCUGGGGACUUUCUCCAAGUUUCAUCAAAUGCAGCUUUAGUCUGCACAAGGAAGAUAGCACUAACUAAUUAUCAAUAAAUCCAAGAUCGUAGCAUCAGAAUUUACCCCAUGAGAGAUAAGGUACAAAUGCAUAAAUAUCAAUACCAGAGUAGGACCACAAUGAACAGAGACUUUAUUAGAUGGCCGAUGAAAAAGAAACCAACAGGCAUAAAAGGAGUAAGCAAUUAGCAACACUUUUCCUUUUUGUGUUUAGGAACAGAAUUGAAAUUAAUAAAAUUAUGCUGAAAGGAUUAGUGCCUAAACUACAGAACAGAAAAAUUUAUUUGCUACUCGGUUAUAUUGCAAGAUCCAAUUAGCAAAAUCAACAAUACAGGAUUAGUUUGUGAGGAGGUUAAUUUCAACUUUACAGAUCCAAUGCUGCAUACAUGAAAACUGAUCUUAUCAAAUCAGAAACCUAUAUGACAACAUUCAAAGGAUAUCAUCACACAAAUAAACUGAUAAAAAUGGAGGAGCCUAGCAAUGCAUACCUCCCUCUACAAAGCCUUAUCAAUUCGGGAGUGAUACCAUUAGAAUGUAACCGCAUCGAACAACUCUGCAUUAGGGUAACAUACAAAAAAUCAGCAGCUUAGUAUUUGAUUAAAGGAGAGCUAGAACCUGAUGAGCAUACAAAAAGCAUAUUUAAUUGAAAAAAAAUACAUUUACAAUCAUUCAGGGAUGUGACGUCGAGAUCAGAUCAAGUGUUUGAAUAUUCAGAAGCAUCAAAACUUCCUUGUAACACUCCACUCAGCCCCAGAGCAUCUUCAAGGUUGGCACGCAAGAUGGUCCUCAGUUGUUGCGGUAGCUUCCCCUACAAAAUCCCUGUUCUUUAUUUUGAUCAGUCUCAGGUAUGGAAUUUGAAGUUCCUCAACACAGUUAGCCAUGCCCAAAUCAGUCAUGCCAUAAAGCAAUUCCAUGACAACAACAGGAUCAAACGGGAUGCAAACUAAUUAGCAAAUUCUUGAGCUACUCAUCCCAGCUUGUUUCACAAACAGGCAAAAAAUUAUCCAAUAAUGCAAAAGGUCAUCGAUACAAUUAAUUGAAUUGAAGUCCCAAAGUAAGCCUAGAUCAUUACAUAGACCAACCAAACUUGUCAUAGAAGCGGCACCAGUUUACCUUGCUUGAUAAUCUUUAAAAACAACAGUUUGACUACUAAUAAUAUUAAGGUGGUCUACAUUCAUAUAUGACAGACUAGCCAAAACUACUUUAACAUUUUUUUGUAACCAAAUAGAAACACUUGAACCUUGAAUUUUAUUUUAGCUCAGUUCAUCAUAUUCCGAGAAGUGAUGCUCAUCUUAGAAGGUUAAUGAGGGACAUCAAGGGAACAAUAAGAAGCUUGACAGGGGUUUCGUUCAUUAUGGAAAAUCGAAAGACGGUUGUCCCAAACAGGAUAUCUAUCAAAUUUGACAUACAAUAGAACUUGCAAAGUAACUCAAAAUGGCCAUAGAUUUUUUCAAAGAAAAUAUAAACAUUGAACACUGGGAAAUUCUGGGCAUAGUAUACAAUAAUGAGUAGCAAAAAUUCAUCAACCUCCAUGCCUUCUAUUGACAUUAGGGUCUGCAUCUUGAUCUUGGCUAAAGCAUCAUGUCAGCUUCUAUGGCCAACUCCCCCACUCCUUCAAUUAUGUAAGACUAGCAAUUUAGGAAAGUACAGAACCCUGUCAUGAAAAUCUUCUUGUCAAAAGAAGAAAGAAAUGAAAAGUAGGUCAUGAAUCUCAAACGAAAAAUGAUAAUUCAUUGCUUAUUUACCUCUGUUCAGGAAGCAUCACUCCAUGAGUCAAAAGACAACUCUUGUUCAUAAUUUCUAAAGACGUUUGAUCCAGAUAAUUUCGGUAUUGCUUCCAAUGAGUCACAACCAGAAAUAUCCAAAUCAAUUAAAUUCAACUUUUUAAGUCCCUGAAGCUGAGUAAGUUUCUUGCAGUCUCGAACUCUUAGAGAUCGUAACUUCUCACAUCCCGUCAAAUCUGGCAAAGUCUCCAUUGAUUUGCAUCCUGUAAAAUCCAACUCUUCUAAGAACUCUGCACCAUCAAGACCUUGAAUUUCAACCAAAUUGUCGCACUCAACAGCCACUAAUUUCUUCAAAUACCGUGAUCUUGGACAGGGAAGACAUCUAAUGGAAUUGCAGUCAUAUAAAAAUAUGACCUUCAAGCACACCAAAUCAUCAUGGCUGCGAAUUUGAACUAGGCUAUUGCAAUGCUCAACACGAAAUAUUUUCAGACAAAACAAUCGUGAAAGGGUCAAGUAUUUAAUGGAACUACACUUUUCUAUUGAAAGCUCUUCCAAGUACGUGGGUCCGUCGAGGCAAAGUGAUGUCAGCUUAUCCCUCUCCUCAAAGCAGAGUUUCACUGGUAUUGAGGAAAGCUCGUAGAUGUCUUCAAGUAAAUGGAGUACAUCAAGAGAGAGUUCUUCUAGGCGGAUGAGACUAAAAAGUUGUGGCAGUCCAAGACUCUGACAAGUGACACAAAGACGUGUUAAGCCCGAAGGAAGCUCUGGCAGCGACCGGAGCUCCUCACAGCCCUUUAGGUCAAGGCAUUGGAGAGAAGAAGGAAGCUCUGGCAGCGACUGGAGCUUCUUACAGUCCCUUAAGUAAAGGCUUUGGAGAGAAGAAAGAUUCCGGACGCUUUCUGGUAGGUCAGAUAUCACUGUCUCAGAGAGAUUGAGACUCUCGUGGGAAGGCAAGUCACCGAUUUCACUUGGAAUUGCCCCUUUCAGACUACUGCACCGGCUGAGAUUUAGAAUCUGCAGAUUUUUCAACCCUCCAAUAGCACUGGGAAGCUUUUCGAUCGCAGUACAUGACAAGUCAAGGUCUUGCAAAUUCUGUAAAUCCCCAAUUAAGCUGGGGAUUUCUCUCAGUGACCUACAUGCUGAGGCACUCAGUGUCUUCAAUUUCCUCAAAGAACCAAUAGACGAAGGAAUUGCUGUAAUACCAGAGAAAUCUAAAAGAAGUUCUUCUAAAUCUUUUAAUCCACCCACCUCCUCUGGUAGCUCCUUGAGACUAAUACAGCGGCACAAGUCCAGGGUAACAAGGCUUGUGAGUUUGCCAAUAGAAGGGUGGAGAUGCUCCAAUAAAUAACAUUUUCUCAAUCGGAGAAUUUUCAACCGCGUGAAAGCUGAGAGAUCAGGAGUACAUCUUAACUUACAAGAAUUUUGAACGAUGAGAACUUUAAGCUGCUUUGACGCCUAAUACAAAAGGAGAAUAAUCCGUCAAAUGAGGAGUUGAUUGGCUAAACAAAAAAACAAACCUCAAGAUUGCAGAGAGGAUGUAUUCUUUUCCCAAUCUUACCUUUAAUGAAUUCCAUCCUUCCCAAUUCUCUGUGAUUUCUCCCGUCCAUAAGUCCAGCACCAAUAAUUUUGGCAAAUGAAAGUUGAUCGUCGAAAGAGACGCAUCGUUUCUACGACCGCCCCACUGAAGCCAUCUCACUUCAGAAAACUUGGAAUCUCCGCUAGAAGCUGCCCCCAAAAAGUCGUGGAACCAAGGGCGUCUCUGCAAGUUUUUUCACUUUUUAGUUUUUGCUUUUUUUAAAUCUUGAAUUUGCACGAUUACCUUUUUAUCCUUCCCCUGUACAUGUAUGGAUAUGUAAACUCACAUUUAUUUCUUCUUUUUUUACGACCUUUAAACAAAUGACGCAAAGAUAAAGAAAAAAAUAAUUAUUGCUUUAAAACAACUGAGGCAAAUGCACCUCAAUGUUUUAUCUCUUGCUUCUUCUUCUUUUUCAAAAUUUUGUAGCGCAUGGAUUUUCACUUUCAUUUAAGAAGAAAUACAUAAAACUAGUUUACAACAUACAAAUAUUUACUUGUAAAUUUUUAAAUGACUUAUAAUUUUUAAAAGAAUUUGUUAAAGAGUGUCGACGGGCCACCUGUAAGUAGCUAAGGAAGCACCCUAUUUUCAUUUCAUUAGUUAAAUGUAAUAAUGUGGAAGAGAAAAAAAAAGGGGGAAUUUUUAGUAUAUUCAGAUAUAUAGAAAAGUUUACGUGGAUGGAAAUCAAAAGAAAUCAAAUAUGAUAUGCAGUAUCAAAAUAGAUAUAGAAAAUUAAAAGAAAUAUCCUUAUUCUAAAUAUCUUUAACGUCAUUAACUAUUUGCGUGAAGUGUUUACUCAUUUCUUUAACAAUCGAAAGGUUUUUUUUUUUUUUGGGGUAAAGUUUGUUUAAAAAGUGACGUGGCAACAUUGGUUUGUAGUUUUGACCAGGAUUGAAAAAAAUAAGUCGCUUUCAGAAUAACUAGAAAAUGAACCGAUUAACUAAAAAGUUCUGUGGUAACAUUGUUUAAUCAUCAUACGUUGGUUUCCAUAAGAAUAGCAUCGUUUCUUUUUCCAUCUUAUAAAUCAAAAAACAUACUGUUUAACUUUCCUGCUAAAACAGAUCAUUUAAUUAGUUGCAGACGGUGAAAGAAAUUUCCUUAUGGCUUUAUUUGACUUUUAUAAUAAUGCCUAUAUUUUCCCCCAAAAGUUUAAUUGGUUAGAAAUUCACUUUUAUGGUUAGACACGUGUGUUGUUAUAUCUGCUUUAAAUAUUAACGAGUGAAUGCAAUGGGUAUAAAUUCUCUUAAGUCUAUUCGUCUGAAAGUCGCUAAAUUGUUGUAAUCACCAUCCCACACUAUCUUUAAUAAUUUUCACUCGUACAUCAAUCUAUACUAUGUAUUACAUUAAAAAAAUCUAUUGUAUGGAAAUGGGAUUUCAAACCUCAAACUUUCGUCAAAAGUUUCCACACAAUUCGCAUAUAUUUCACCAAAAUGAACUAAAGAAAUAAGAUAUAACAAAAUAGAAAUAAUCAUAUUUGAAGUAGUCAGUUGGAAAUUAGUCCCAUAAGUAUUUCAAUUUCCAAAGUUAAAUCAAAAUCUCUCGAAUUGUACAAUAAUUUCAUUUUUUUCGACGCUACUUAUCAUUUUUCAGCAUUUUUAUCCAUUCAAAACAAAAUUGACUUUUCUUUUUCAUUUUUCCAAACACCUAAAUGGUGUGCUCUUUUUGCUAAUGUUAAGAAGUUAUUGGAUCCACAAAAGAGACUGAUAUUAAAUCAUAGGAACGAACUAUUUCAAAUUAUAUCAAGAAUAUAAAGCUGCUUUGUUUGCCCAACAUCUCUUGGUCAAUUUCUAGGGUUAAUUCCUCGUCAUUGAUCAGCCAUGAGCCUGCGAAGCUUUUCAGAUGGACAAUAUAUAAUAAAAUGACAUGAACAUUGAUAAUUUAAGUAAAAGAUAAAACAUAUUUGAGAAAAUUGGCUUCAUGCUGAAAAUCAUAUAUGAUGAAUACAAGGUUAUGGAUAUAAUAAUAAGCAUGACAUUUCCUCCGAUUAUUCAAUUUUUCUUUUUUUAAUUUAAAAUAGUCAAGUUAGUGUAGCGAAUUCUCGCACAAAAGAGGCAUUGUCCCAAAAAAUAUAAAUAAUAGUAAACAACUUAUAGAGGAUAGAAAUGUUUGUCAUAAGGAAAUUCACUCUUUCUUAUACACCUAGACCUUACCUAAUCCAUGAAAUGAGCAAGGUCAAUGCGAUACAUCCUUAAAAAACAGUAAGAUUUUCUUGUAUAUAUUUUUAAGGAGAUUUUUGCUAUCUAUUAAGAGGAAAUAAGAAUGAAAACAGAUAGAUCUGGGACGGUAUCUUCCAAAUCAAAAUGAGAAAAAAAAUAUCAAACAUUCGAUUCCUAAAUCACAAAAGUACCACAAUACAUUCGGCCAUACUAGAAAGCAAACAUAUGUGAUAAGUCUGAAUUUUUGUUUUCAAUCUUAUUUCUUUGAAUUAAUUAUCGGUUAUUAUACUAUCUCUAUUUAUUUUUUUAACCAGGAAAUCUUCAUUUAUUUGAUCUGUGAUGUUUAUACUUCGUCUCUAUUCAUAAUUAUAGUUGUUCUAAUUAUCAAUAUUUUCAACUAGACAUGACAAUUGCAUGCUUCAAGUAAAUGAGAUUUAUAGUCUAAAAUUGUAGUUAAAGGAUCUUAAAUUGAUUGCCAAACAAUUUUUUACAUAUGUAAUUUAUAUCAAGGAAAUUGAAUCAAUGAUAUAACUUUGUCAUCCUUGCCAUACUCAUGAUUUAUUUAGUGACACAAUUAAUCUACGAUGUACAUAAAUGGAUGUUUAAAUAGAUUUUUUUUUUCUAGAAAAUAAGAGCAUCUUUUCAUGCUCAAUGAAAUAUUAGAAUAGAUCAGAUUAAAAAUAUUAAAAUAAGAGGGAAAGAAAAUGAAGGGAGUGCCAUAUUUUACCCUUCCAUAGAUUCUUAGUACUUUUGGUACUCCCUCGUAGUCGUCAUCCCAUGGUCCACUACGUUUCUCAAGCGGUUGUCCUUCACAAAAAAUGCUCCUUCCAAGAUCUCUCAGUUGAUCAUGCACCAUGAACUCACCAUGACCUCUAAUUUUAAUUAAGCACCUCAACUUCAACUCUUCAAUUCCUUGAUUUGGAUAAAACCCACAGUCCUCCCACAUGUACAUGGCGAAUCGUGCAGCUUCGCAAUCGUCAUGUAUGCCAAUAAAGAAACAAACGAUAUCGAGAAAAAUCUGCUUAUGUCCUUCUUCUAAUGCAUCAUAACUUAUUUGUAAUAUCUUUUGGACAUUUCUAUCUGGUUGGUUUUUUACUUUUUUCUGCACAUCUUCCCAUACUUUUCGAUCUUUCCUAUACAAGUAUGAACCUACAACCUGAAGUGCCAAGGGAAGCCCACCCAUGGUGGAUAUGAUAUCACGAGAUAUGCCAUCAAAGUCCCCCGGACAAUGGUCCUUACGAAAUGCAUGUCUAUUAAACAAAAGCAAAGCUUGCACCUUAUCCAAUUCAUUCAAUUCAUACUUGUAGUCUACCUCAAAUUCAGAUUGAUCAAGAACAGCUUUGUUUCUAGUGGUAACAAUGAUCAAACUUCCUGCCAUAAACCAAUUAUGUUUCCUAACCAAUGCAUCUAGUUGAUUCUUGUCGUCUAUAUCAUCCAAAAGAAUGAGAACCUCUUUUUGUCUGAAUCUAGAUUUGAUUAUAUUAAUUCCAUCAUCAAUUCUAGAAACUUUGGUUUUUUCAUUUAGUAAAUCCGAUAUAAGUUGACUCUGUAAAUACGUAAUACCGUGGCGCCUGGAAGUUUCUCGAACAUCUGGAAGGAAGCUGACAUGCGAAAAUUUAUUUGAGAGUUGAUUGUAGAUGCACUUGGCAAGAGUUGUCUUGCCUAUCCCACCCAUGCCGUAAAUUCCAAUCAUUCGAGCAUUGAUGGAAGAAUUGUCGAUCCAAUUCAUAAUUUCCUUCAUACGAUGAUCAAGUCCAACUAGUUGCUCAGGCACAUCAAGUUGAAAAUCUUCCCGUAACUUGCUUAAAACAGUUUCAACCACACGUUCUAUUAAAUUUCCCUCGUGCCUGUCAAACAACAAAAACAAUGAGAAGUUAUGAACCUAGACAUAAUCUAUGCGAAGUAUUCUAUCCUUUUCAACUGAGCUAACCCUUGUUGGCUAUAGGAGGUCGAUUUUAUCCGAUGUUGAUCAAGCUUUGAAGAUCGAGCAUUGGAGUCAUUUGGAGGCCUAUUGUUUAGUGAUUGAUACCAUUGGCUGGAGAUAUUGUCGUUUUUUUUUUUUUUUUUUUUUGCUCUAUUCCAGAGGAAAAUUUAAAUUCUUGGGCACUAUAGGAUGCUUUGGUUUCAAUUGUCAUUGGUUUAGUUUUCAGGGACAUCUUGGGGAGUGCUGGUGUUUGUUGUCAUUGGGGAUCUUUUCUGAGCUUGUAGUAAAAGUAAUUCAUUUGCAUUUCCUCGAUUCUACCAAAAGAAGAAAACUUACUUAUCAAAAAAGGAAAGUUCAGUAAAAUACCCGUUCGCAAUUUUUUGAGAUUCCCAUCCAUUUAAUUGACUAACUUCAUUUAGUGCUUGUUGCCCUUUCGCGAUCUCCUUCUCAUCAAAACGCUCUUGACUCGAGUGGAAGGCAUUUCCAAAAUUUCCUUUUAGAUGCCGUACAUCCGAUGGGGCAACUUUGUAAAAUAUAGGCAACACUAUGUGUGACGCACUCUUCUUACGGUCCAUGAUAUGAACGAGCUCGCGGAGGCACCACUUGCUCGAAGCAUAAUUUUCGGAGAUGAUGGGAAUCGAAAUCUUAGACUGUGCGAUGGCAUCGAGAAUCUUUGAACCAAAUUCCUCACCAAUUUGGAUGUUGUUCUCGUCCCUAAACACGCAAAACGGUACAGUCCCUGCCUUGAUCAGACGGUGAUAGAGGUGAUCGGUGAAUGUAUUGCGGGUAUCUGAGCCUCUAAAGCUCAAGAACACUUCGUAUUGACCGCUACCUACACAUGUGGCUUCUAGAGGGAUGAAAGAAGAAGUGGCUGCUCCUUCGGUGCUCUCUUCCUCUGCCCUCUUUCUCUUUCCCUGAGUCUGCCCUCUGUCCAUGGCAAUCUGAGGGGGAAAGUUGAAAAGAAAGAUGCUUUUUUUGCUGCUUAAAAGGAUUGUUGAACAACGAAAGAUGCUUUUUCUGCAAAUGCUUGUUGGCUUCAAAUAAUGGGUUCGUUAAUUCCCUAGGUAAUAAAGACACAACCUUCAGUUAAGUAAGCUAACGUCGUUUCAUUGCAGAAGAUUAGGUGGCCCUGAAGAGGCCCCCAAAAAGCCCACAUCAUUUACUUGUUUAGAAACACAAAUUUGAAAUUACACAAAUUGCAUUGUAAUUAAUCGACUUACUUAAAGCACAUUUGAAAAACUACGGAACUUCACGUAUGUGUAUGAUAUUUAAAGGCGGAUUCUUUCAGUUCAAGGUAAGAUAUUGAUAUUAUGUAUGGAACUUUAUGGAAGCAUCUUCCUCUGAAUAAAGCUCACACGAUGCCUAAUUCUUGUCAUGAUCUUCGACCUUACUCUUAUUAUUUUUAUCCUAAUAAAUAAACAACCCUAACUAUCUCCACCACCUCAUUUUCACAACCCUUUCUGUCUAAUCCCAUGUCCAUUGGCCAAAAUAAUGAAGUGUCAUGUAAUUGUUACCCAAUAAACCACAUCCUCUAGAUGUGUGCACUUUCCUAAUUGGAGGGAAUUUCCAUCAAUCAUGUUUUUAAUUUGGCGGGUUUCAAGUUUUAGGCAUUUUAACUAAAUCUAAAAAAUUAAUCGAGGAAAAUUUUUCAAUUGAUCAGUUGUUUUGAUAUGAAGGAAGUUGAUGAAAAUGAUUCUAAAUGAAAGGGAAAUACUUCCUUUUGAGCCCACAUUUUAUUUCUUUCUAUAAGUGCAUAGAAAUGAGAGGAAAUGCAAAAAGUGCAGUUUUCUUCCAAUUGGCCUUACUUCCUUUUUAAGGAUGAAUAGAAUGAACGAUAAUUAAGUCUAUCAAUGAAACUAAGUUCCAUUUACGUCAUUUCCACCCAACAUGUAUCCAAAAUAUUUCGACGACUUUUAACUUAUUUCUCCAAGAAAACUCGAGCUUCUCUCUUCUCUCUUCCAAUGGCUUGGAACAAGGUACCCCUCCCUCUUGCUUAACUUCAAUCAAUCUUAGACCGUCUUUGUUCUCCCUCCCUCCUAUGUUCUUUUCUCUUUUUGUGUGAAUGUUGCCUCUCUAUUUGUUUCGGGUCGUUUGCUUCACUUCUUUGAUGUUUUCGUCCAAAUUUAGUGAUUUCAUAUUUUAAUUUUAUUUAAAAUUGUCAUAUUCUUAAUGAGGUUGGAAAUGCAAGGUAGAGAUGAACAAAUGGUCUUUGUCAUUUCUCUCUUAUUUAUUUCGUGUUGGCUCCACAAGCCAAUAAUUUUAUAUAAGAUGAAUCUAUGAUAAGAUGUUACCAAGCUAUUCACUUCAAAAUUUAAAAUUUAAAUUAUUGAUUGGUAAAUUGUCUGCAAAAUAGAGUUAUAAUUUGUUAAAUGACACCAAAUGAGCAUAACACGAUAGUAUUAAGUUACCAAUGAUAUAUGAAAUACUUGUACACUGUCCUUGAGUUCUUUUCCGGGUCUUUUUUUUUUAUUACAAUUUUGUCGGCAUAUCAUCAACUCUUGAAAAGUCAGCAAAACAAUGAUAAAAGAAGAAUGUGAAAUAUUAAAAAAUAAAAGAUAAAUUAGGAAAAAACAUAGAAAGAAGGAAAUGAAGUGUCUAGGCUUACUUUUAUAAGGAAGCAGCGAUUUUAGAAGUAUGUCCAAAAGGCUUUUGNNNNNNNNNNNNNNNNNNNNNNNNNNNNNNNNNNNNNNNNNNNNNNNNNNNNNNNNNNNNNNNNNNNNNNNNNNNNNNNNNNNNNNNNNNNNNNNNNNNNAUGAAAGCUAAAAAGGGAAUGAAAAAUGUAUGCAUUGAGGGGAAAAUUGGAACAAAGAUGCUUUUUUGCUGCAUAAAAAUGAUCGAUGAACUAAUCUCCAUGAACAAUAACAAACAUAAAUCUGUUACCGCACAAGGAAAAACGAACAUGAAAUCUUUAAUUUAUUGGUAAUUGAUUGACUAGGAGCAGUUGCAGAUGCUUUUAGCCUCCGCCUUAUCUUCUUUUGGACCUCAAACUAUUCAAGUCAAACUUGUUGGCUUGAUCCACCCACAAGUACCGUGUACGUUAAUUUUUCAAUUGGGCUAUAAAGAACUAAAAUUUGUGUACAACCAUAUGGCAUUCAAUUAAGAAUACAGGCAUUCAUUUGGUUUUUAUUUGGUUAUUGAAACUCAGAAUUUGAUAAAUCAUUUAAAGAUAAUAAUUGAGUUGAAACAGAAUUAGAAAUGUGUGAAAGACUUCAAGAAAGGACCGAGCUAGUAAUUGUGGAUGUGAUUUUAUAUUUAAAUUUUGUUUAAAAUUGUCAUAUUCUUAAUGACAUUGGAAAUGCGAGGUAGAGAUAAACAAAUGCUCGCGGUUAUUUAUCUUUUAUCUAUUUCACGCUGGCACAACAUGCUACAAUUCUAGGUAAAAUGAAUUGUUUUUGAAUUAGUAUGCUAUCACCAAGCCUUUCAAUUCAAGUUUUCAAAUCUAAAAAGUUGAUUGAUGUCUUGUCUAUAAAAAAGAGCUAUAAUUUGUUAGAUGGCACCAAACGGAGGAGUGGAUGCUGCCUUAGUGCUCUCUUUUUAUGCACUCUUUUUCUUCUUAUUGAGAUUAUUGAAUACAAGCAAAAAGACACAAGAAGCGCCACAAAGGAACGACUUGAAAUGGAAGUAGAAUAGGAUAAUUGGCUAAAUUUGUGAUAAUUCAGGUUAAAGUGAUUAAUCACAUGUUGAAGAUUGUAUUUAUUUUUGAAUUAGUAUGCUAUCACCGAGCCUUUCAUUUCAAAUUAGGUAACUCUCCUAGUAUGCGUGUAUGGCUCAAUUUAUCGCAUACUUUUUAAUUCAUCAUUUACUUUUCUUUUUUUCAAUAAAGACUUGGUCAAUUUUUGAAGCUUUGAAGUGAGAAAAUGAUUUCUUUUUCUUUUUUCUUGCUAAAGAAGGAAGAAAGUGAAUUAGAGGUGAAAGCAAAUACACUUUCUAGGUUUAAUGGUCAAACAAUUCGAGUAAAACAGGAUAUUACUCACUUGGAAUGUUCUAGAGGGAGGUAAAAUUGCCGAAUGAAGUCUCCUUAAGAGAAGACUUGUCCUUAGGAUGAUUGGUUUAGAGAUAAGUGGGUUAUAAACAAAGAAUUAGGAACUUAUUAUGUAAUGAUUGGUUCUCCUCUUUUAUAACCAAGAACCAAACUAGUUGACCCGGGAACCAGACUACUUUUAUUUUUCUGAUUUAUUUUUCCAAAAAUUCAUCUAGGACCUUCAAACAUAGAGAAACCUCACAAUGCAUAAAAAAAAUAGAAUGGUCUCUGAAUUCAACCGAAAUGUGGAAAAUUUGCGCACAACAGAAUCUAGUGCACUGACCUACUCACUCUAGCUCAACAAAAGAUCAGUACUGAAUUACGAUGCAACUAAGAAUCAGACAGCAAGGCUAUCAUAGGAUUAGCCACAUCUAAAGUCGAAAACCAAAGGCCUUCCUUUUUUUACCGAAGUCAAAUCUAAGCUGGGGACAUACCUCGUCAAUAGGCAACAGCAACUCCAAAAGAGAGAAUAAAAGACCCUCCUCUGCUAUUCAGCAACCACCCCCACAUCCCAGUAGACAAAAAGGGCCCAGAGCACACUUAGUUCUGCCGAUUAUUCCAAUAAUAAAGUGACAGAAUCAAAAUAAACGCGAUGCUAAUGAGAGAUCAAAAAGUGAUUACCACAAGCGAGCUGAGGUGUGAAGAGAGGCACGAGAUCGGAGAGAGAGGGACCGUAAACAAGCCUAGGCGAGAACUUUCAAGAGGGAUAAAGAACAGAGAAAGCGAGUGAGGACUAAUCAGUAGACAAUAGUCUCAAAUUGAAAACCACACUUAAUGAUGAGUUUCUCUAAUUCAAUCUACAAAGAUAAAGUCCACCUAAAAAUUGUCCACAUAUUAAAUAUGUGCAAGUACGUUGAAAGCGGCAGCUUUGCUCACUUUCAAGUUUUCCAUUGUAACCAGCACAAAAAAUGGUAAUAUUGUGAAUUUUUCAUAAUUUCCGGAAGACAUUUGAAUUAUGAAUUUGGCGAAUUUAAAAUUAAAAAGAAAAUGAAAGAUGCUUUUAUGCUGCAUAAAAGUAUCGAUGAACUAAUCUCUACAAACAAGAAUGAACAUGAAUGAUGAAUGUUACCACGCAAGAAAAAAACCAACAUGAAAUCUUUAAUUAAUUGGUAAUUGAUUGACUACGAGCAGUUGCAGAUGUUUUUAGACCUCGCCUUGUCUUCUUUUGGACCUCACACUAUUCAAGUCAAACUUGUUGGCUUGAUUAACUCACGAGUGAUGUGUUCAUUAAUUUUUCAAUUGGGCUAUAAAGAACUAUAAUCUGUGCACGAGUAUAUUAUAUUCAAUUAAAAUUAUAAGCAUAUGUUUGGUUUUUUUUUUGGUUAUUGAAAAUCAGAAUUUGAUAAAUCAUUCAAAAGACAAUAAUGGAGUUGGAACAAAAUUAGAAAUGCGUGGAAGACAUCGAGAAAGAACCAAGCUAGUAAUUGUGGAUGUGAUUUUAUAUUUUAAUUAUGUUUAAAAUUGUCAUAUUCUUAAUGAAGUUGGAAAGGAGAGGUACAGAUAAACAAAAAUGCUUGUGGCUAUUUAUCUUUUAUCUAUUUCAUGCCGGCACCGCAUCCUCCAGUUCUAUGUAAAAUGAUUUUGAAGUGGCAUGUUAUCACCAAGCCUUUCGUUUCAAAUUUUCAAAUCCAAUAUCUUGUCUAUGGAAUUAGAGCUAUAGCGCUCUUUUCUUUCUCCAUGUUAGUCUGAACGAUUAGAAAUUAGGUACGGAUUCGAUGGAAGAAGGAGAAGAAGAGAAGGAAGUACGGGGAAGCUGCUGCGGAAAAUUCAGAGUCGACCACCUUGAGAAUGGCAUUGAGUGCUUGUCCCCAUUUUUGUGGAGGGCCCAUCUUGAGAAUUUCACCGCAGAGAGGUGUAAGAAAUGAGUGAUAUAAAGCUAGGUGAAUCUCCUAAUAUGCACGUAUGGCUCGAUUUAUUUGAUUGAUUUCAUUUGUGUCAAAAGAUCAACUAGAUUUUUUUUCUAGGAUUAAUGGUCCAACAAUUUGAGGAAAAUAGAAUAUUACUCAUUUGGAAUACUAUAUAGGGAGGUAAAAUUGUUGAAUGAAAUCUCUUUAAAAAAGACUUACUCGUAGGAUGAUCGGUUUCAGGAUGACUAGAUUCUUAAUUAAGAAUCACAAACUUAUUCUUUAAUGAUCGGUUCUCCAUUAUUGUAACCAAGAACCAAACUAGUUGACCCCGGAACCACCCGACUAUUUUUUUUCUAUAAAUUGAUCGAGGACCUUUAAACACAGAGGAGCCUCACAAUGAAUUAAAAAAAAAAAAUUGGUCUCUGGAUUCGAGCGAAACAUGGCAAUUUUGCACGCAAUAGAGUCUAGCGCAUUUCCAAACCUACUCGUUCUAGUUCAACAAAUGCUCAAUACUGAAUCACAAUGCAACUAACAAUGAGGCAAUAAGGCCAUCAUAGGAUUAGCCACAUCUAAAGUUGAAAACAAAGGCUUUCUAUUUUCAUCGAAGUCAAAUCUGAGCUGGGGACAUUCCUCGUUAGGAGGUAACAGCGACUCCAAAAGAAAGAAUAAAAGGCCCUCCUCUGCAAUUCAGCAGCCACCACCACAUCCCCAAUAGACCAAAAGGGCCCAGAACAUACUAGUUCGGCCUAUCAUUUCAAUAAUAAAGCGACGAAUCAAUAGAAACGACAUGUUAAUAAGGGAUGAAAAAGUGAUUACCUUUCGUGAGUUGAGAUGCAGAGGGAGGCGUGAGAUCGGCGAGAGAAGACCCUAAACAAGUCUGGGCAAGAACUUCUAAGAGGGAAAGAACAGACAGAGAGUGAGGACUAAUCAGUAGAUGAUAAUCUCGAAUUGUUCUGCAAGAGAGUGCAAGAGAGAGGCCAAAUGUGAAAGAUAAAAGUAAGAAAUGAGAGAGGGAGAGAGGGAGAGAGAGAGAGAGAGGACCAAUGAGUAGUAGACGAUAGGCUGAUUGACUGGUAGCAAUUAAAUUGUUUUCAAAUGGCAAGCCAAGUCAAGUCACGCAAUUUGGACCCGAGUACGGAAUGCCCACUUCUGUUCAUAUCUACUUAUAAAACAUUUUGUUAAACAGAUAAAUGUGGCUCUAAUCGGCUUGUGAAUUUUAUGUCAAAGUUGUUCUUACUCUGUAAAUGCUACAUUUCCCUUCCACCCUAAAUAUGCAUAAAUCAUAUCGUCAAAUCUAUCAUAGGUCAGUAAUUUUCUACACUAUAUAUACGUAAAAGUCUUUGUUGAAAGCAGUAAAAUCGCAUGAAAACCACACUUUAUGACAAGUUUCUCUAAUUCAAUCUGCUAAGAUAAAGUCCACCUAAAAAUUGUCCACAAAUAUGUGUAAGCUCAUUGAAACCAGCAGCUUCGCUCACUUUCAAAUUUCCAUUGUAACCAGCACAAAAAAAUAGUGCAAUUGUGAAUUUUUCAUAAUUUCCGGAAAACAUUUGAAUUUUUUGUCAUUUUCUAGAAAUUACAAAAAUUGCCAAUAUAAGGGAAAAUGGUUUUAUGGACAUUUAAAAAUUCUCUAGUUGACCUGAUCGGUUCAGAUAAAUUUUUGUUGUUGACAAUUCUGAUCCACACCCCUUGAAAGGUUUUGUGCGACUCUUGAAGAGAAUAGACCAGCACGAUCGAUAUUUGGAAAAAAUCUAGUUUUUAAAUGUAUUCAAGGAAAAAAAAAGAAUUCUUUCUGCAAAAAUUGAGUAUUUUGGAUGUUUCAGGCUUUAAGUACUGUUGGCUCCGACAAAAAAAAAACAAGUAAUUUUGGACAAUUAGGGUGAACAUAGGGCCAACGGACGCAAAAUCGGGUUUAGAAGGGUAUUCUCGUAAUUUUAAUCGAACGGGCUUUUUGUCCCAAGGGAAUUUCACAUGUAUUAUUCCGUAGGCCUUUGAGGAUGUUAGGCGAUAAAGCGGUGAGUAAUAAUCAAAUGUAUUUUUGUCCUAUCAAUUGCAAUAGACCGGAGGACGAAGGUCGGACUUACCUCCAGAAGGGGGUAUUCAGAGAUGAAAUCACUGUGAUAUGCGUCAGUGUUUGAGAAGAAGCCGCCUUUGAAGCAGAUCGAGUUGUGUCUGAGUCUCGAAAGGCAGCGCAAUCCCGAGGAUCACCUUCACGCCUCGACCUGGACCAGCUUCGUUUGGAAAUACGCCGAGGUAAAUUUGCAAAUCAUCUCAGGUCAGAACAUCACGAGAAAGGACGAGUACUGGCUACAAAAUCACCAACAGCAGGCAAGGAACUUACUAUCUCGAUUAAAUCGCAGCUCUUCUCUGGUAUAUCUGGAGAUCCCAGAAACGACCCUCGUGUUCCCAGCGAAGACCGCGCCACCAAACCCAGGAACCCUGAUCGCGUUAGCAGAGUCCAUGAUCAGAAAUUAUAGCGAGCGGAACACUAAAAAGUUGGAAACUCGACACGAUUCGAGUCAAUUUUACCUGUUAAUCGGUGCCCACCGAAAACCCAGUCCCUCAAGAAAACUAUCGAUGGGGUCCUUUGAAGCCGGUGGUUCGGAAGGAGCGAUUGCAGGUGCUCUUCGCGAUGGCCUCAGGCGUACUGCUCGGAGGAUUCGCGAGAAAGAAGAUCCCUUGCUUCCUCCGCCGAUUCAAGCUGAAGCUCUCGCUCUGGUAGAGGAUUCUAUGUGCUUCAGAUCUAGAAGUAGAGACAACUUGUGGUGGAUGGUGUUUCUUGGACGAGGCAAUUAUUGUACUUCUUUUGAUUCUUGCCUUUUUGACCAAGACCACAAGAACAAUCCCUCCUUCCUCGAAAUUGGCAAGACGACCCCCUAUAGUCUUCACUUAUUAUUUCUUUUUGUUAUUGGAUUCUGUGGCCAAGCAAAUCAUAAUGGAAAUUAACUUUUUUACACGAUGCUAGUCCUCAACAGCCACGGAAUCAUCUCCUUUUCUUUCUUUCUUUUUUCUUUUUUUUGUCAAACGAAAUUAUCUCCUUUUACUUGGGAAUUUUUGCAAGGUGUUCAUAUUGAAAAUUACUUCUUCUCUUGCCUCGACAAGUGAGUGCAAGGACCUAGGGACACACAAUCUUACUAUAGAUUUGCUGUCCUCGAUGAGAAAAUUUACUAUUUUCACAGACAAACCCCCACCUUGUGCUAGUUUUCUUUGUAGUGGAAUCACAUGGCCGCACAAAUCAAAGUGAAGAUGGACAACAUUUUGUUUUUCCUUCCUAUUGAAAUAAAAGCCUCUCACCGUUGGAGGCAUUGAAAUGGUCAAAAAUUUAUUUGUUAACUCAUAUUUAGUGACCUAAAUCAUAUAUGGAUCGGCUCAAAUUGAAAGAAUAGGUUGUUAUGAAUUUAAAGUAACGAGAUUUUAUUCAAUAUAUAAUAUAUUUUAAUGAGUUUGAAUCAUGUCUAUAUGCAAUUCAUGUUAAUUAAAAAAAAAAAAAAAGAGGGAAAAGUAAUGAUCUUUUCAUUUGCUUUCACAUGGCUCUUCUUAGGGGAACUCAUGCUCGAGUGUAGUACGCCUCGACACAUGGAGCCCACUGUAUAUGGCACGACAAUUGUAUGAGCUUUUUCUUCACUUGCCUGUUGCUUUAAUCAAUGAUUGAGUGACCCGUCAUUCAUUCCCUAUUCAUUAUCGAUUGUUUAAUCUAGUAGGACUCAUGUAGAACUUAUAUGGCUCUGGUCAUUUUUAGUUUUCCAAGUAUAAUGUUUCCCAUGAUAUCAUUUAGCUCCACAUCUAGACGACAACAUCAAUUAGGGCUAAUUCAGCCAAAUCUCCUAUGUACUCUUAAGGACGUAAGGAAUUAGAUUGAUAUCAUGUGCUUAGUCUACACACAAAAAUUUUAUCUUAGGUAUUUAGGGGUCAAAGUUUUGGUGAAGUAGGAUUGAAGAAAGCAUGGGAAAAUUACUGAAAAAGUCAUAAACCAAUUAUAUUUGUACUAAUUCAGUCCUAAACCUCUAAAUUUGAUCAAUGUAGUCCUAAGCCUUUUGAUAAUUUGCCAAUAUAGUCCAUCUGGCCAAUUUUGAUGGGGUUUAGGUUGCUUUGGAUGGUGGUUUUUCUUGAUUAUUAGCUUAAUUGCAUCCUAAUGGACGCUUAAAUGUCAAAAAUACUCUUCAUUAGCUUUUCACACCAUAUGAUACAACUGUCACAUGAAAUAUAUGUUAUUCUACCACAUCAUUUCUCUCUCUCUCUCUCUCUCUCUUCCCUCUUUGUCAAGGCCAAACUCGAAAUAGAGGCGUCUUGCUCAAAGCUGCAAUGACACUUGACUAAAUCUAGCAUCGCAUUUGAGUAAUUCUAGCAUGCAUUGAGCUAGACACGAUGUUGAUCUCAACUAGAUCUAAUGUCGAGCCCAACAUUGCAAUGGGCCAUCAUUGAGGACUCAUAACUCAAGGAUAAAUAUGUUGUUGCAAUAGUCAAGCGCGCCGCCAAAUUGGGUCAAUGGGAUGUUUCUCCUCACAUAGCAUGAUCGUGCCAAUAUCUACAUUUUGCAAAAGAAAUCUUUAUCAUGAAAAGAUGGCUUUUUCAAAAAUUCUAUAUCAAUUUUUCUAUGAAACCAAGUUAAUUACCUUUUAGAAAAUUAUAUGGCGAGGGGGCGUGAGGACUGGCGAGAGAUGCAAGUUAAAGUCUUCCACCAUCUUGCUUGCUCAAUUGCAAAGAAAGUGAUAAGGCAAAUGCUGACAAGACCUAAAAGAAGAGAGUGAGGGUGAGGGGGAGGGGGGAGGACUAGUGAGGAAAAGCAAGUCAAACCAUUCCACCAUCUUGCUUGCUUUGCAAAUAAAGCGAUAAGGCAAAAGCUGACAAGACCUAAAAGAAGAGAGGGAGGGAGGGACUGGUGAGGAAAAGCAAGUCAAAGUCUUCCACCAUCUUGCUUGCUUAGUUACAAAGAAAGCGAUGAGACAAAAGCUUACAAGACCUAAAAGGAAGGGGGAUGGGACAGACUAGUGAGGAAAAGCAAGUCAAAGUCUUCCAUCAUCUUGCUUCAUUGCAAAGAAAGUGAUAAGGCAAAAGCUAACAAGACCUAAAAGAAGGGGGAAGGAUUGGUGAAAAAAAGCAAGUCAAAGUCUUCUACCAUCGUACUUGCUUAAUUGUAAAGAAGGCAGUAAGGUGAGAGCUAAGAUGACCUAAAAGAAGAGGGAGGGGGGAGGACUGGCAAGAAAAAGCAAAUCAAAGUCUUCCACUAUCCUGCUCACUCAAUUACAAAGAAUGUGAUAAUGCUAGUACGAGUACCUAGAGGGGGGUGAAUAGGUUUAUGAAAAUUUUCUUGCAGUUUGCGCAAUACUUAGACAGAUGAAGGAUUAAAAAAUCAAUCGUAAGACUGAGUAAAGGAAAGAGAGAAUUAAACACGAGGUUUAUAGUGGUUCGGCUUGAUUCAAGCCUACGUCCACUCUUCUGCACUGACAGCCGAUUGGCUGGAUUCCACUAUGAACAAAGAGAUGUUACAGUGUUGAUCUUCCUUGAUUUCUCGAUGUAGAUGAUCUACUACAAUCGCUCAAGGUAUCACCAAGUACAAACACUCUCUGUGUAUACAAUUUCGCUCGAACUGUAUCGACUAACAAUCAAUGUUCUUCAGACUCUGGAAUUUAUCUAUCGAUCACACACUUAAAACAACUAGAACGUCUUCCUUUUAUACUCCUUUAUGCCAUCAUAGCCGUUGGCACUUACCAAAGGAAUUCCUCCAAUCUACCCGUUGGACGGAAUCAAUUAAGAAGAUCAUCCGAGCUAUUUAAGGAAUCUGAUGAUAGCCCAUCAAUCCUGUUCGCCCAUACAAUCAGGAUUUUGGUUUCCAAGAAUAGAACAUUCCAAGAAUGUUUCGUCGACCAUCAGAUCUUCAAUUUGAUCUUAGAUAAGAAUCAAAAGAAUCCGAAAUGAUUAUCCAACCAAGGGAUCUAUUCCAGAGGAUUGGAUCAAAUCCCCAACCAUAUACUUCGGCUUCGGAUAUCCUACGCCACUGGAUUAGAAAGACUGUCAGUGAGAAUAAUCUUGAGUCUUGAGUUUUGAGUCUUGAGUCUUGAGUCUUGAGAUUACAAAGUCUUGAGACUUUAAACCAAUGUUAUCAAGACUAGACUGAUAGAAAUGUUUUGUCAGCUUCAAAAUCUUCUGGAAAGAUUUCUCCAACAGAAUGUGGUAAGGCAAAAGCUAACAAGACCUACUCAAAAGAAGGAGGGGGGUGGGAGAAGGAUUGACGAGGAAAAGCAAAUCAAAGUCUUCCGCCAUCUUGCUUGCUAAACCAGCAAGACCUACUCAAAAGAAACGAGGGGAAAAUUCUAGCAAUUGAAAGCAAGUCAAAGUCUUCCACCAUCUUGCUUGCUUAGUUGCAUUGGGAGAACAGAGACCAUUAUUUAUGGUGAAAAUACUGUCUAAAUUUAAUUUAUAAAUGAUGCGAUGGGGCAAAUCAAUUAUGAUAUAAUAAUUGCAUUGAAAUUUGCAUUUUGCAGUGGGGCUUUGUGUGGGGUUUGCACGGUUUCUCUUAGGUGUUUUAUUAAAAUCUAUAUGUUUGACAAUGCUACAUAAAUAUGUUAUAUAUCAAACUGUUCGAUUUGCCUAUUGAAUCUAAACAACUUAUAUUUAUCUAAUAGCACAUGUGAUAAUAUUAUUGUUUUAUAAUUAUUCUCUUUUUCCUUUAAAUUGACAAAAUGUGAACUCACGAAUAUUCGAUUUAUGUAAUCCUAAUGCUACUCCGUCAUCAAGUGUUUGGCAAGAGUUGAAAUUAACAUGUGAAAGUUAUCUGUUACUUGAAAUUACAUCAACAUAUCCAAAAGUAGCUACUUGAUAAAGUUUAUCAAAUUUUCUUCUUUAUUUAAAUUCAUAAAAUCCAUUUUCCUCUGCCCAGCUUGCUUUGCUUUUGUUGCUCGUGAAUUGUUUUGUUUUUGAGAUUUACAUUAGAUCCAACAUUUUUUUGGUCUAGACAGAAUUCAGCACAUAUAUAAGAUAGAAAAAAAAACUGCUCCGUAUUAUGAGAAUGCUAUUAAAAGGAGUAAUAUGUAAAAUUAUCAAAAAUUUUGCCUUCUAAUGAGGAACAUCCUUGUUGUUAUCGGGCUUAACAAGUUAACAGAUAAAGGACUGUUAAACUGAUCUGAAAAAUCUCAUUUUGCUGGCUUUUAUUGGUCAUAAACCACAGGAAUCAAAGGUAUCUUGGUACUCUCUUAAGUGUCUUCUAGAGUUGGAUAAAUGGAAUAAGAUUGUAUCUUUGACUCUUCCCUUUUUCAUCAGUCGACUGAGAUGAGACAUCAGUGGCCCAAAAUGGAAAAGAACAAGAAGAAAUAAAUUCAUUCACACCCAUAAUCUUAGUACCACCAAAUAUUAAGACUUUGAAACGAGGUUAAAAAUCUUGGGUUCUAUUGCUCAAUAGACAAACGCAAAGGAUCAACGCAUGAAGCGAACAAAGAAUAUUGUUUACCUUCACCAGCCAAAAGAUUGCAAGGUCAACAGCAAAUGCAGGAAAGAAAUAGAAGAAAACCAUACGAAACCUUUUAUUAUUUACGAACAUAUACCAUCCUAGAAACAAUAUGCACGCCAUCAAGGGGAAGAGCUAAAAGAUUGUCUUCAAUACAAAAUAACUGUAGUCAUACCUCUCUUUUUUAACGUGUAAAAACAACCAUUUCAUUCAACAAAAUUUACCACCCCAGUCAUGAAGAGCAUGGUAUUCGAAAAGCACAUCACUCUCAAACAUACUUUUCAUGCACAUGACAAGGUGCUUAUAUCAUGAAAAUGAUCACUUAUAUCACUUAAUGUAAUUAGCCAAUGAAAAAUAUUUUCAUUAUCGACAAAAAAUUAGGUCCAAACAUUUUCGUGAGUCAUAAAGGUAUCUUUUGCUCAUUCGUUAUUGUUAGCAGUUUUAGUGGAAAUGUUUGUCAAAUUCAUUUUCCACAAGACAAACACACCCUUAAUGUCAAACGGCUUCAAUGUUUAAAACUAGGAGAGGGAAAUUUGAAACAGACGUUUUACCUUGGUUUAUGGCAAGUAAAAUGGAUUGCAAAUAUCUUUGGUUUUUGCACGUGUGAAAAUGAGAAAACACGGUCUCUGUCUUCCGCAAUGUUGCUGGGUCAUUGGAUGUGGGAACCAAAGAAGAUUUGCGUAAAAAAUUGAAUGUGAUUCUAGCGGAUAGUUUUCAAUUUUCACCCAUACUACAACUUAAUAAUGGAUUGAAUUACAAAAUUCGUAAUAAUUUUUUUAUAUAAUUAUGAUGUAAUCAGAGCAGCUUGAUAUAUUUCAUUUCAUAUUUUUAAUUUGCAACUUGCUGAAAUUAUAUUUAAAAGAAGGCAAUGAAGGAGGUGAUGUGUACUCAUAUUUAAAUCAAUCUCGAUUGGUUAUUUAUGUGGAAAGCAUACAACUUCCAAAUCAUGAUUGUUAGCUAAUCAUAUUUCAUAGCAUCAAGCGAGGGAAAGCAAGUCAAAGUCAUCCUUCAUCUUGCUCACUUCAUUGCAUUUCCCAAGUCCUCUUUUGACCAAAGAAAGGGACAAGGCAAAUGCGGACAAAACCUACUCCAAAAAAUUAAUAAAUAAAUAAAAAACUGUAGUCAACGUUCAACUUUGGAGUGAUUCUUGUUCUUCCCCUGAAUUUCCUCGAAGGUGUGUGAAUGUGAGGUAAUCAUGUAUACCUAUCUCUAGGGGACAUCAUAAUUACAAACACUUAGGUUAUGUUCACGGUGAGACAAGAGACCGGUCUUUAUUGUGGAAAUGUUGCAUAAGAUUAAUUUAUAAGUGACGCAACAGAAGUGCUAAUUAUAAUUUGGAGCUUUUGGACGAAAGUGUGGCUACUUGUGUUUUCUAGUAAGACUUGAUAUAGGGUUCUCAUAAUUUUUCAUAGAUAUUUUAAGAAAUUUUGAUGCUUGUUGUAAAUUUGAUAUGCAUUGAACUUUUCAUUUUGAUUAUUAACUCCAAGUAACUCUUAUUUAUCUAUACAUUUGCUGCUCUAUAACUAUACAUUUUUUUCUUUUUUCCCUUGAAAUGAAAAGGAGUGACCUAAUAUAAGUCAUGAUACAUCAAUGUGAACACGAGAAUAUGCAACGCAUUCAAUUGCUAGCCUCAUGAUACAUGAAUGUGAACACGAGAAUAUGCUAUGCAUUCAAUUGCUAGCCUCACGAAAGGUUUGAAGAGGGUUGACAUUGAUUUGUCAAGCUAUGGGUUGCUUGGAAUAUACAUCAAUAUCCUAAUAAAAUUUGUCAAAUUUUCAUCUUUGUCCUAAUUCAUAAUGUGUUUUCUUCUCUCAUGCUUGCUCUGCUCAUGGUGAGUUUAUUGAAUCCACGUUAGUCCAAUUAUUUUCAUUGAUCCAGGGGAACAAUAGUACAAGAGUGCUAUUAAAAGGAGUAACAUGAAAAACUAACAAGAUUUUUGCCUUCUACUGAGGAUCAAACUUGUCAUUUUCCGGCUUAACAUAUAACGGACCAUUAGACUGAUCUGGAAAAAUAUGAUUUUAUCGGCUUUUAUUGGAUAGAAACUACAUAAAUCAAAGGUACGUUGGUGCUCUACCAAGUGUCUUCCGGAGCAAUACUAGGAUAAAUGAGUACUAUUGGCUCUUUGACCCUUCCCUCUUUCAUCCAUUGACUGAGAUAAGACAUCAGUGGCCCAAAACACAAAAGAACAAAAAGGAAUAAAUUUAGUGACACCCGUACCAACAAAUAUAAGACUUCAAAACGAGUUUAAAAAUCCUGGGUUCUGCUGCACAAUAAACAAAAGCAAAGGAUCAACACAUGAAGAGAAAAAAGAUCCUUUACCUUCACCAGCCAAAAAGAUUGCAAGGUCAGCAGCAAAUGCAGGAAAGAGAUCCAGAAGAAAACCAUAUGAAACCGUUUAUUACUUACAAGCAUAUGCCAUCCUGGAAACUAUAUGCAUGCCAUUAGUGGGAAGAGCUGAAUGAUUGUCUUUAACACAGAUUAACUAUAGUCAUACGUCAUCUUUUAACAUGUAAACACAAUGAUUUCAUUCGGCAAAAUUGGCCACCCAUGUCAUGAAGUGUGUGGUAUCCUCAAAUUGGAGAGUUGCAAGCUGACAAAGCCAUUUAAAGGAUCGCAGCCUUCAGCCACUAAUCAUAUGUGAAAGACAGCCAAAUGUCAUGUGAAUCAGCAACUACUGUCCUAUUCGGCAAUACUAACAUUUCAGCCUUCCCGUGGUUCACAUGAAGAGCACAGACAAUCAUAAUGAAAUGAGAGAAAGCAGUGUACGAUGAUAUACUCUUUAGUCAGUCAUCAUAUGGGUCAAGCAGAACCAUUUAAGGCUCCACUGCCUUCAAAAUCAGAUCACCAAGUUUUGUACCUUCAAGCCAACUCUGAAUGGUAGUUGCAGAUCACUUCUUUUAGGAACACUCUUGGGGAAAUUGAGCAUUUGAUGAUGUUAACCUACAUUCUGACAAAUACAGGUCAUUGUCUUCAUUUUCAGAGUCUUCAGCAACCCAACCAUCAUGAUUCACUUCACCAUUGGAUUGCACAGCUGCCACAUCACUAUUAUCCUCUUUUGCAAGGAAAUGGAGAUCCACAAACAUUGAAAACACAUUCUGUGAGAGAGUAGUUUCUAAAUCUGGAUCGGCAUGGUCAGUAGCUGAAAUGGAAUGGAAAUCCUAAUCUCCAACCAUUGAAGAGGGGAGAGACUCUGAACUUCUAAUAACUCUGUACAGAUUUUGCUGACUACUUGCAAUUUUCACUAAAGACAUGGAACUACCCUGAACAGGAUAAGACUCCUCAUUAAGACAUGCUAGUCGGCAAAAGCACUCAUAAUUAGAGGCAGACAACAAGAUGGCUCAAAAAGAACAUAAAUGUUCCUACAGUUGACAGCAACAAGGUAUUUUAGUAAUUGAAAUAUCACCUUUCCUGGAAGUUGAUUGAUCAAACCAUUUGCGAUUCAAAAUAUGAAUGUGACCCCAUCUUUUAGCGACCUUGUAUUUAUCUUCUGUAGCUUACAGCCAGUCAAGUGCAUCGUAAUGGGACUCACAGUGCUACAGAGCAUCAUAAAUGAGGCAAAAGAAAGAUUCAAUGGUAAUAACAUUGCUGAGCAAUGUGCUUUGAGCAACCAACAGGCAGUCCUAACUCACACUGCAAAAGCGAGAACUGGCUGAGGAUCUUUUAACAAUUAGCGGUUCAAAUUGUACGUUGUUUAACACCUUGUUUCCUUGAACCACAUAACACAAUUCUUUAGGACUGAUUUAGAAGUCAAAGUCAAUGAUAUUGUCAUGCCGGAAAGUUUCACUGUUUCUCAUCAUAAUCAAAUUCCCAAGUAAAAGGAUAUUACCAAAAACCAGGAUUAAAUCAAGCAUAGCUAUUUCCUAUUUCAAACUAUAAUUGUCACUAAACCUUGAAAUGAUACAGAUCUUCUCUUCAAACUCUUAAAGUGUUUUCAUAUGCGAAGACAAGAUAAAGAUAUGUGCAUUUUGACAGGGUGAUCAGAUAUCAAAAGGAAAAUAUGCAAGCAAAUCACUGGACCUUAAUCUUGAAGAAGAAAAGGAUAUUUCUGCAAUUAAAUGAGUGCACUUCCUGGUCAAUUCUGCAGAAUAUCUCCCACCAUUUUCUGUAAUAUGCCCCUGAAUCUCCUUCCGUGCGUCUGAGAUCAUGAAGGACAUACAAAUUGAAGAACUGGAGGACAACCAACAGCAGCAGCUAUAUCAAACAAUCAGUACCUGCAGGAAAUCCUGUGAACAUUCAUUGUCAAUCCAGAAAAUGGAAGAACUCUAUAAGACUCUUGAGGUACAACACGGUGCUCAAUAUGGCAUUGGUAUAACCAAUUAAUGGUGACAACAGGUCACUUCAGAACAUUUAAAGCCCACUGCACGAUGACAACAUUAAUUGAUAAAUACAAUUUAUCUCUCAAGAUGGGAUACAUUAAAGAAUUUGCACAGAGAAUAUUCAAAAUAUAUAUAUAUAUAUAUAUGGAGGAAACUCUUCCUAAGUUCAGCCAACUCAAUCAGAGUACUACCCACAUACUCAGUGAAAAAGCAUAAUGAAUCUCAUUUAAAGUGAAUUUAACCUUAACAAGAUACAACAAAUUCGCUACUCUUAAACUAAAUUCAAAUUUUUAACUCCAAGACCUAAACCCUGUAUUUUGCAGCCAAAAUAUUCUUCGCAAUUACGAAGCUAACAUCUGCUGAAGUUUUGGUCUGUAGAGCUUCCCCCCCGGUUGAAGUAACCAAUUUCUCAAUCUCAGCCUGCAGACUCACGGAAAUGGUGAAACAAUAAGAGAGAUGACAGACUGCCACCAUAUUUGUUCAGACAAAAGCAUGUCUGCAGGCAAAAGAUUCAAGGGGUCGCAUAGAAGGAUACAUGGAUAAGGAGAAGUGAUGCACCACACUGAAUUUGAGUGACAAGUUACGACAAAGAUUACAUGCUAAAAAAUCAUACAAGGCCAGGCUUAUCUAGGAACAAGCAUACCUCCUCAUCCAUCUCAAAUCCAGAUGCAAGGACUUCGACACCAUCCAUUGCAAGACAAACAAGUAUACCCUUUUUGAGGUAGAGGUCUCCGUUCUUUCGCACGUGAAACCACCACACACUGCAGACCUGCAAGAAAUAUCCUCCAUCAAAGUCAACAUUUUUUUCCCAGGCAGAAGAACUCCUCUCAACUGGCUUGACCAGCACAUUGACCCAAAUGCCUCCGCUUUCAUUUCUUAACUACAAGUCCUGGUUUAGCAUUUAGCAGCCUCGAGGAAAAACCAGAAGAUAAGACUAGGACGAGAACAAGAUCUUUACCGACUAGCUUACAACCCUUUCGCCUGAAGAUCCUCGAGCUUCUCAAGAAGUAAAACAACCUCAAACCCAAUUUUCAAAAUGAACCCAAAAGCCGUUAGCGCCGCCCAAUCCCAACGUACUCACGUGAUCGGGGAGAAGAAACAGCGUGAAAAUCGCGGGGCCCACUCCUGGAAGGGUCGCAGCGGAGGAAGGCCUCAGCUCCGUUCAGCUUGAGCACAUCGAACAGCUCGGGAGGCACUCAAGUUACUCGGCACGAACACGGUCGGCCCCCUGAAACGGCUUUGUCUUCGCCAUUUCCUAUCGUCCUUCUCCGGCGGCGACUUCCUCGACAGAUGAUCGGUCUCGUUGCUAAGGAUUUCUGCGAAAUCCAAAUGCAUGUGCGUGAGAGAGAGAGAGAGAGAGAGAGAGCAACGAUGAAGCGCGAAGGGAAUCGGAAGUUGGAAGAGGAUGAAGGAGGAGCGACUUGGGGAAGAAUUGAGUGGAGUGAGCUUUUUGUGAAUUCUUCCCCAAAUUGGGAUGGAUUAGGGUAUGAGAAAGCGCGGGAAUGGGGUUUUUCUUGCGCUCUUUUCGGAUUUCCCUUUUUAAUUCCCCUUUUUUGUGCCAUUAAUUUUGUGGAUAAUUUCUCAAAAACCCCCGCAACUUCCACACCGUUGCACGACUGCUCUCCAACUUUGAAAAAGUUACACGCUAUGCCCGCGCCAGGCGACACGAGCCAUGAAAAGAAAGUAAAAGAAAAGAAUAAAAGCAAAGAAUUCAAAAAGAUUCUUUUAAAAAUUGUAAAAAGUUGUCCAUGCCAAUAUUGAUUACGUCACAACAAAUGAUCAAUAUUUACGUUAGUAAUUUUCAAUUAAAAUUAGUCAAAAGAAUUACAUUAACGAAUUGUCAAUAAUUUUAUAACUAAGUCGACUAAAUUAUAAAGUUUAUGAUCGAAUCGACAUCCAUUAAGGAUUAUUUUGUUAAUUUUCUCUAAGAGGUUAGUCACAUGUCUAAAUCAAAACUUCACAUGAAGUUUUUCUUGUGGACCCGUAAGUGCUUAAAAAUUACAUCGGAUCAUGGAUAACACUUUUUAUCAUGUUUCAAGAGCAACCACAAAUUGGAGCUUCUUGGCGAUAAAUUUUUUUAUAGAAUUUUUUUUUUUUUGGUAAAAAGAGAGUAACAAAAUGAUGUCUUGGUGAAAACAAAGAGGUGCAAAUGUUGGGAGAUUCAAACCUAGGACCACGAGCGAUAAAGAUUGAAUGGUAGUGAACUUAUUUUGCCAUUUGGAGAUAGAUCUUCAUAUACCCAUCAAAAGGGUGUUUCGGCUUGGUUUUGGUAUGUAUCGAAAAUGGUUCAGCCUAAAUAAACUCAUUUUAAUCCGUUUUAAUCAAUUUAUAUACAAUAUGUAAAUAAGUGACUCAUAUCUGACAUUGUCCCGUGAUGCUAAAAUAUUUUUUUAUUUAACCCAAAUCUAGAAAAAUUUACACCCAAAAACGAGAUGGGUCGGGUCGUAAAUCCAUUUAAUAUCUUGUCAUUUAUUAAACGAUCUACUUUUAUAGGUUUAGAUAUUCAAGAAGGAUAAAAAGACAAGAACACACCCGGAUCAGAUCCGGACUCAGCACCGUUUUCGUAGCACCGAUUGCCACGGGCAAAUGGCCUCUUUCCUCGCUCGACCCACGAUCCAUCCUCCACAUUUCUCGUCUGUGGCACGUGACUCACAGGUGCAGAGACAGAGGGAGAUUCUAAGGCUUCCGGUUUCCAUGUGAGCCCCCCUCCAACGCCUAGAUCCGCCAGCUUCAGCGCUUGGAGUUUAAAGGAAAAAACGACGACGCAGCACGAACCGCUCAACCUCGGCAGUUCUUGGUAGAGGGGAACGUCGUUUCGCUCUUCCAUCCUCCGUUUUUGAACUUUUCAUAUUUUCUUUUUUUCCUUUUCUUUUUUUCUUCUUCUCGAAUAUGGUUAAAGGCCAAAUCAAAUAUUUUUAACAAGUCAAAUCCCGAUUUGUGCAGGACGGAAUUUUCUUUUCUUUUCUUUUUUUUGCUAAUUAAAUGAAAGAGAUCUUGAAAAUAGAAAGUCCGUCAAAUUGAAGCCAUGUAUAUCUAGGUACCCUUCUUCUUUUUUUCCAUUUUCACUUAUUGGCAAUAAAAUUAUUUUUGAAUAGUGGACCUCAAUUUUUGCAAAAAACGAGAACGAAUCUCUUGAGAUGGAUUAGAUGCGUUGUAUAAAAAGAAGUGAUACAAAUGCUUUGGCCACUUAUUAGGAUUUUGACUUAUGUUUUAUUCGGUUUAUGACAUAGAGGGUUAUUUUCGGAGAUUUUUCUGAAAUUGGAUUAUCGUCGAGAAAGAAGUACGAGUAAAUUAUAAUUUAUAAGACCGGAUCAAUAGAAUUGAUGCAAAGUCUUCUUUUGUUUUUUUUUUUUUUGGUCAAAAAAUUUAUGCAGAGAGUUUGACUACCAUAAAGAUCAAUAAAUUGCAGCUGCCCCCGUGGCGGAGGAGCGUGCGGAAAAUGCGCCUGGCCGAACUUGUGAGGUCAAAACUCGCCAUCCCGUCGCCUCAAUUCCCAUCCUACCGAAAAUUCAUAAGACUCGCACCUUUGGUCUUCCUCCUCAAAUCCUCUCUCUCUCUCUCUCUCUCUCUCUCUCCCCGUCGCUCUUUGAAAAACACUUUCACCACCCUUCACUCUGAAAAUGCAGAAUAGACAUAGCAGUUCAUCGUCUCCGUCAAGCAUUGAGCGAGCGUCGACCACCAUGGGGAACAGAAGAGGCAAAACCCUAAUCUCCCACACCCUAGUAGUUUAUCAGGAUUCUUUUAGUACCGGAUGAUGAUGAUGAUUGAUUACGGUUACUUUUAUGCAACACAAGUGAGCUUUUCUGUUUCAUCCUUUACUUUGUCUGCCGUGGACUCCACAUGUAAUUAUGGCAUACAACCUCAAAUAUGCUCAUAUUGGAGAGAUGAAACAGCUAGGAUUCUGGUCCCAGUAUCAUGUAAAUAUGGCAAGGAUUGAAAGCUUUUUUGCAUAAACAAAUUUAGAAACCCUAGCAGUUGCCGUUGUUGGGCUGUGAAUAGGUCUACUAGCAGUAGUUGUACCAUGAAGCCUAAAUCAAUAGACAAUCUCUCUAGCGGGGUUUGUGGCUGAGCAACUGAAAGACCCUCAGCUGGAACUGACUCCUCUGUUUUAGGCACCAACAUCUUUUCCCGCCUCAUUUUCUUUGAUCCUCCUAUAAACAGAUUAUAAGGAUGACAUAAGCUACCAUCCAGUGGCAUAUAUCUGCUUAUGCAUCGCACUUGGAAGAAAAUUCACAUACACAAGUAAAGAAGAAAGAUGCUACUCUACAUUCUCAUGAAAAGCGAAACUGCAUAUAUUUCUACCACUAUGAGGUCUCAAAAUUCAUAAAUUACACCGCUCAAGACAAAUACAUUAAUUAUACUAUCAAUGUCUAAUCUAUUUUAUAAAGCCGACAACCACUUUUAUUUCUUUGCGAAUCGGGAAUCACCAUUUCCUCCGUCCACAUGAAGAAACAUAAGAGCCAUAUUACAUAGCAAUUACCCAUAAAAAAAAAGUCAAAGCAAUAGGUGGAUAAGUAAAGACAAUAUUAUAAUCACUUUGAAGGAAAACUAUGUUAAGUCAUGUAGCGGCCAGGUAGAACACAAAAAAUAUUGGCGUUCUCCCCUUUCACCAAGCACUACAUAUUCUCUUCCAGUUCAUGGAAAAGAAAGUUGGUGGAAGAAUGUAGAAAUUAACCAUACCUCGUGUCUGUUGUAAAGUGUCCUUCGCCUCUCUUCGGCCCUACAAAUUGCCGGCUUAAUACCAUGGUUGUCCAUAAAACCAUUUGGCCACAGCUCUGCAAGCUGUACCUAGCCUCCAAAAAGUGAAGACUUUACACUGACAAAAGUCUUAGAACCAGUGGAUGCAGGUAAAAACCAACCGAGGUGAUAAACAAAUAGAGAUCAUAUAAAACCAUUUGCGAUGCAGAGAUGACAAACUCCAUGAAAAUGUUUCUUAUUUUAAGAUGCCGGUGCCCACAUGCCUCGCAACCUCAAUUCCUCCUGUAUCUUUUCCUUCUCGAGAAUACCCUCUAGUUGUUUUAAAUCCCAGUAAUCCCAAGGUUCAGACAAGGACGGAGAUCAAAGUGUGAUAAAUAAACAGAGAUCAUAUAAAAUAACAAGUCAAGCCAACCAAUUCAGUGGGUUCUCCACAUUUCAUAUGCAUGCUAUCACGAUUAUCAUCAAAACGUUUACUCGAAACGACUUCAUAGCCCAAAGUUGACAACUGCAGCAAUUUCAAAAAGUAGGCUGCACUCUCCACUCUUUGCAUCAAUUAUUAAUUUAGAACAAGGGGAAAUGCGGGUUUAGUGCUUGCAUAAUUUCAUAUAAUUGCAUAAAUAAAUCAUAAACUAACACUGCAUGUGAAACCCACAUUAGGAAAACCAUCACCAUGUUUGACCACUAUAUGAACAUACUUGCAACUGUGAACAUAAAAUAUAUUAUAUAUCAGCACUGUAAAUGCAGUUGAUCUCACAUCCAACUAUUAUAUCCUGCAAACUAUGGCAAUAUACACCAUCAUGAUGGUUUUGAGAACGCUUCACAAAGAUAACUGUCAAAACAAGAUUGCAACAUGUCUAUAACAGCUAAACAGCCAUACAUAUAGUAAUUUUUAGUUUUUGGGGCUAGUGGUACCUCAGCAUAUAAUUUUCUGACUUGUGGACCGGUCUCCUCAUCAAGACCCUCAAAGCAUGAAAUCAAAUAGACAAUCAUGUUUAAAAGUAGCUUUCUAAAGCAUGUUUCAACUAGAAAAAGGCAGUAUAAAAAAUGCAAAGGAAAUAUUUACAUCAACAAAAAGGUCAUAGAGAUCACAAAUCUUGUCCUCCAUUGCAGGAUCCAUAUCAUAUUGUCUUUUAGGAAUUUCUUUUUCCUUCCAAUUCCUGAAAAUCAUUCGAUGCUCCAGAUUGAUGAUGUAGAGCCUGAAUAUCUGGCGGGGAAUGCUAACUUUGGUAAGCAAUGCAACAACAUAAACCACAAUUAAGGAACCAACAAAAUACAAAUUCUUCCGAACCCCUUGGCAUCAAACAUUAAUAAAUCUGAUAAAAAAAAGCCAUUAACAAGUCAGUGUCACGUCACGAAAGAAACCGUUAAAGAUGACAAAUCAUUCAAUUUUGCACUUCGUAAAGUCUUGAGGUCUUUGUCUUGGUUACCCAUCGUAACUUUUCUUUAUCAAAUGAUAAUUUGAUCACAUCCAUGACUUUCUUUCAUGUAUUGAAGUGAUGACAGAAAAUCGAUUUUGCAAAAUAGACUCGACGGAUCAUGUUUUUGCCCUUUCUAUCCAACGGUCCACGUUGAAUGUAGGACUAAUCCCAUAAGAGAGUUUUGAUUUGCGAAAUUUCUGUCCCCAUCAAGAGGUUUUGCCUAUAAUAAAGUAGUUUUUUUUAUUAUUUUUGCCAAACAGUAAAGUAGUGUUUGGAAAUGCUAUUUUUCCUGAAGUUUUGAAAAUCAUUCCAUUGUAAUAUAUAUUUAAUAUAUAGAAAGGAAAAAAAUGUAAAUUAAGAAACAAUAUUACUUUGCCAAUGUUGUCUUUCACUGACGCACAGCAACAUAUACGUCUAUAACUUUCAUAUGAUAUGCAAGUCUUCCGUUUCCGAAGUAACCUUCACACAUAAUCCUAUCUUCCGAGGUUAACGAUUUUUCAAGCCCAAGCGUGUCAAAUGAAGCCCGGGGUGCAAAAUAGAGCUUAGACAAACUUCAGGGGCGAAAGAGGAAAUUUAAAAAAAAAAUUAAAAAAGAAAAUCUAAAAGAUAAGACUCCAAUCUCUCCCAUUCUCCAGCGUAUAUAUAAAAAUAGGCAGCGGAAAACAUCACCAAUCCCGCCAUCGCUGGGAACGUCUUUUGAAAAGAGCACUUCGAAGCCCGCGGUCUUUGGAGAGAUUAGCGAUCGUCUCGAUUCGACUGCAGCUCGUGCAUCAUCGAUCGAUCGAUUGAAUCGUUCGAACAGGUUGAGACUCCACGGAGGAUCGGGGCUUGGAAGAGGUAGAGAAAGCUUGGGGUUGCUGAGCUUGGCUCUCGAGUUCGGCUUCGACGAGCAGUCCUCCAGCAAGUGCUUGGGGACCGUCUCGUUUCCCUCUACGGUAACUCGAAUCGUUAUUUCAUCGCCCAUUUUUUAUGCUGAUUAGCGUUGCGGAGGUUGUGUAGGUAUUCUGACGAUUGAUUGUGUUGCGUGGAUGAUUCGUGAAUCGAUUGAUUGUGCAGUCCUGAAUACGGAGAUUUAUUGGGGUUAGUCGUCAUUCUGAUGAUGGUUGUGGAAUGGUCUGCCUUUUGGAUGUGAAUGGAGCGGAGGAGCUGGUUAAAUCUAGUUCAUUGAUCUCGUCCCUAUUUCUCUGUGGGUUUUGCGGAGCAGUCUUAUUGACUAGCGAAAUGUCUGACUUAUUUCUGAACUGACUGGGAAUUUACAUAUGGUGUCUUGCCUACAUAUAAAUAUGGUGUCUCACUGAACUAAGUGCAAAUUACGUAUUGUGGAUUGUGUUUAUUUGAUCUCUUGUUUGCUGUGGAACUUGCAAAAUCAUUUCUUUCUUCUUUUGGUUUUCUUAAGGCAAGGAAGGUCAAGAGUUUAUCACGGUUGAGCACUGGGGCGAUGACUUCCUAGCAGAACUUCCUGAAACCAUGCAAAAAUUCUGAGGAUUGGGAUGAUUUGCAAGCUGUGGAAUCAGAGGCUUCUGCAGUUUUGACUGAUAUGUUUGGCCAAGAUAUCAGUAAUGAUCGUGAAUGCAAUGCCGUGUACGAUGUCAAUUUUAUAGAAGAUUCUCCAUGACCUGAGAAAAAUUGAACUUUCCUUGAGGUAGAUUCCUCUACUGACAGUGUAGACAACGACGAUAUAUUUGGCAGUAAAAUGAGCAGGAAACCCACAUGCUAUAUUCCUGAUCAAAGCAAUACUCCGAGCCCUUUAUCCACUCAACUUCUGGCCAGACGAUCUUUAGAAUCCAUGGCAUGCUUCUGAAAACUAUGAAGUUGUCUCACUCCCUUCUGCCCCCACCAGUUUGAAAGGAUUAAGAAAAAGAAAGAAAAGCAAGGUGGCUUGGCAUGUUUUUUCCCAUGCCCAAAUGUAAUUGGGUGAUAGUUGUUAAAUUUAUGGCUUGAGUUUUUGAUUCAUGGACCUAGAUUUGGCUUGGGAUUGGCUCGUUUAAUUGCAUGGAUCAAAUACGCAGCUUGAAGAAUGUCUGAGUAUUGUACAGGGUUGGCCGUUCAGUGAAGCAACUGUGGACACCUGAAGAAGCCACGAUAGUUACUGGGCAAAUCCCAGGAGUCUGGCCACAAUGGUCCAGUUGUCUAGGAGGUUAACAAAAAGUUGGCAGAUCUCGGCUCAUGAGUUUUUAUUCUUUUAACAAUGAUUCUGCAACUCAUAUUUUUAUAUAUUUUUGUUGCUGAGGUAUAUUUGGGCCAAGAAGGAAAAUGAGAAGAAUUGAGAACAGAUUGUCUUGGUUUUUGAUCAGGAGAGUUUAGAGUGUCCUUUCAGAAAACUCCUGGGAAACGCUUUCCACUCGUCUCAUUUGUUUUUGAUUGACUCUUGCAAUUGGAGUUUUGGUUUGUGAGAAACUGAUUUAUUUCUUAUUGUAAUUCACUUUUGGUCAUCGUAAAAAAAACUCCUCCUGUUGACGUAGAUGAAACUGCCCAACCCCUUAAAUUAGUGUGUCACCGUUCUUUGCUCUUAAAAUGUAUUUCCUUGAAAAUUUCGAGUUUGCUUGUAAUCUGCUCACAACAGAGGACCUUGUGCAGGGUACCUGUAAAAAAACAUUUGGUAAAUUGCUUAUGAGGGCUCUCAUCCGAUCAAAUUUCAUAGACACCUAACUUUUGCCAGUUACUUCCACAGUCACUAAGAUCUAAAUUGACUUAUAUUAUAAUCGUUUGGUCAAAUAAGACAGUUGAUUUCUAUUUAGGAUGAUGUAAAAUACCUAUAUUUUUCAAAUAUUAUGAGAGUAUAGUACAUCAUCCAAUUGUGAAACUAGCAUCCAGCGUCUUUGAUAGGAGUGUUUUGCAAAAUGAAGGCUAGGGAUCUCCUGUGCACAAUUUUCUUUUUCCAUCAUUCCAUGUCAGAAACUUUUUAUGGUGCUAAAGAGGCUUAUUUGUGUUAAAGGACUGUAAGAGCACUGUCGCUCAAGGUUCGAUAUCAUCAUUUUCAAAUAAAAGACAUUUCUCUCGAAUUUCGACAUGCAAACAAGAAACUCUGACUUAUGAGGAAUUGCAAGCCUUGGAUGACAUAGAAUUGACAACUGUUGUAAUAUUCGGAAACAGGGCAUUUCAACCGAUGUAGCAUCAGGCUUGUAAAGCUUCUGUAGCCAAGCAAGAUUCCUUCAUUCUCUUGCCCACUGGGCGUGGUAAAAAUUUAUGUUACCAGGUUAGUAAAUUUUAACAUUAUUUCAUUUGUGUAAUGAUCGUAUGUAGAAGUAUGUGUGGAGACAAUGUUUAGAGCACAAGGCCUGUGCACUUUGCUCAAUGGUUGCACCAACUAAAUGUAAAAGGGUAGACCUGUAUGUCAAAAUUUAAGCUUUAACACAAUCUUCUAUUCUGCUUUGUUUAGCUCUGUUGAGAAGGCCAUGAACUUAAGGAAGGAAAUGUUUUUAAAAUGAAGAUUAAGCGAUAGGAAGUGAUUCAGGUACAUAACCAUGGGUUCCAACGUAUGGCCCGAGACAAAAUUAGAAAAGAAGGAAAUAUAGAACAUUCUCAUUCUGCCUUCGCACAUCUCUAUCCAUUAUGUGAUUUCUGGGGAAAAAAAAAGUUUGUACUAUUCUUCUAGGACCUUCUAAUCACUUACCAGAAAAUUCAUCUUGUUUAUGCAUGUAAGUGUUAUUGUCAGUCAUAAUUUAGGUCCAAUUCAAAUAGGUUAUGCUAAGUGAAAGAGGAAUAAGUUUUUAAGUACUUCGGCCAAAUACAGGUUCUAGAUUUCUAUAUUUCCUCGCAGUUAUUGGCUAUGCCAUUAUCUCACAGGGGUUGAUAAUCUAUCACUUCUUUUUCCCAUAAUUGGUUCGAAAUUAAUGUCCUUUAAUAUACAAUGGAUCUUCAUAGCAUGCAAAAUAUUCGAUUUACUGAAUUAAGGAGGAAGAUAAUAAUCUGGAUUUAUUAAGUCAAAAAUUUUAGAAGUGUUUUCUGUUCAGUCUUGAAGUAGUUGAUAUAUGUUUCUAGCUCAAAGUAAUUAGAAGACAAAUAGUGACUACUGGUCCUUCCUGAUCAGCUGAUGGUGAAAGAAGUAAUAAUUCCCUUGUCCCUUCCUUUCUUCAUGUGCUCUUCUGAUGUUUUUACCCUUCGUUUCAGCUGCCAGCAACUCUUAAACCAGGUGUAACAGUUGUUAUAUAAGAUCAAAUAAUUACUCUAUACCUCAAGUACGGCAUACCAUCUAUUUUCUUGAACUCUCAAAAAAGUGCUGCCCAAGCGGCAGUUGUCCUCCAAUAACUAAUGCAAGAGUUAGCUAUAUUGGACUUCUAAAACUUAUAUUCUAAGUGUUAUGAUUGUCAAAUUAUUAAUCUCCACUUCUGCUUUGCUUGCUUUUUCAGAAAAGAUAAACCAACAUGCUAGCUAUUGUGUGUAACUCCUGAAAGGAUUGUGGGAAACCCACCUUUUCUCAAGAUAUUGAAAUGCUUGCAUAGAAAGGUAUUGUUUCUGAUGCACCAUAACUUUUUCUAAAUGGUUCUUUAUAAAUUGUUUAUAUUUGAACAUCGUGCAUUACGAGCACGACUAGCUGGUUUUAUUGUUGUCACUGCAGAACUGUUGUCCUUGUUCCUGAUAAAUAUAAGCAAGUUAACUUUUAUAUAUGCUAACUUAAACUCUUUUUCCAAACUUUUCUACAUUUUCUGCAUUUCUAGCCUAAUUAAAUUGUCUUCGAAGCCCAGAAUCCUGUGAAGUUCUAAUAUAACAGAAUGUAGUGUUCCCUGUUUGAUGAAAAGAUUUAGGUUCUGUCAUUGGGGAAUACAUAGUGGCACAUUGUUCAUUAUAUUGAGUAAAGAGCACACGACUUAAAUAAGCUCCAAUGGAAAUUACUUUCUAGAGAAAUUGAAUCCAGCAUAAGCUUGGAUAAGGAUCCAGACUCCUCUCUAUGUUUGGCAGGAUACUCAGUCUCUUAAGCUGGCUCUUGUAUCCCUAUUUAUUAAAUUAAUGCUUAUACUUUAUGUUAACAACUUGAGAAAGGCAAAGGUUUGACCAUGUGAUCAUUGAUUGUGUUUCUUACAAGGUCUUAACUGGAUUUGCUCUGCCAGUUUGAUCUCAUGUAAGGAACGUACUGCUGGUUUGAGCUUUUCUUCUACAUGAGACUGAUUAUCGUUGAAAGCUCAUUGAUUGUCACUUUCAUGGUUGUCAUUAUUGUAGUCUAUGGGGACAAGAUUUUCGUCCGGAUUAUGGACUGGUAUGUCUGAAGACUAACUUUGCGUAUGACUUAGUGAUGGCCUUAGCCGCAACUGCCACUCAGUGAGUUCAUGAGGUACAAAACUUAUAUAUUAACCUCCUCAUUAUGUUGAAAUAAUAUGUUCGUUCUGAUUGAAUUAUUCAUCCAUUGGAGGAUAUCCUACAAACUCUUGGGCUUCCCCAUGCUCUUGUUCUUGAGACAAGCUUUGACAAACUAAAUCUAAAUUAUGAGGCAGCUGGGAGAGCUGCUAAAGAAUCAUUUUGCUAAUUGUUGUGGCAUAGCAUAUUGCCUUUCAAAGAGUGAAUGUGUUGAUAUCACAAGAUACUUGAAUAAGAAGUGCUGUAUAAAGAUAGUGUACUAUCAUGCUUGAUUACUAGCCCAUCGAAGAGUAGCUGUUCAAAAGAAAUGGCAUACUGGAGAGGCUCAGAUUGUAUGUGCUACCAUUUGCCUUUGGAAUGGGAAUAGACAAACCUAUUGUUGUAUGUAGAAAUGGACUGUGGCCUUUGCCUAUUUCUUAUCUUUUAGAAGUCGAUAAAAUCAUCGUGGUAUGAUGCCUGGAGAAGCGGAGGAAGAGGAAGGUGGCCAGAUACAAGCUUUAUUUGGUCGAGUCAAGUUCAAGGCUUCUUUCAAACAAGGGUUUCGAAGGUUGAAGCGCAAAUGCUCGAGCUUUGUGUGUCGAUUUAAUAUGUAGAAAUUACUGAAUAUCAUGCUUAUCGUCAUUAAGAGAGAAAAGGAUGAAAUCAGUCAGGAGGAAACAGAGGGGUUUGUUUUGUUUAUUGGGUUAUCACUUCAAUAUGUAUCUAAUGUUAAAUAAGUAUCCAAAAGAGUGUCACAAUGCUCAAUCUUUCUGGUAUGAUGUCCGUUCAAAUUGUUGUUUCAUUCACCGAUCUCCAGCAUUCAAGACGUAGGAAAAUGAGACGACUUGUAUGUGAUAGUCCAUAUGUCUUUAUAUUUGCCAAAAGGAUUGUUUUUUUUUCCCCGAAUUUCCUUACCUUUUGAUUUAUCUGCAACAUGAUUUUGCAAGCAUGCAUGCAUUCCCAUGCGAAGUAAAAAUCAUCUGUCCUGCUAAUUUCUCCUCUUCUUGACAACAUGAUGCUGAAUGCAAAAUAAGAAGACUACUUUCAUUUGUUGGAUUUAACGUUUAGAUCUACUUCGUGGUCGGUUUCAUUGUUUAGAACUCUCUUUUGGCCAAAUGUUUUUUAAGUCUCCGUUUUGGGGUUCUUUUAACCCUGUAAUUUCCUCAAUUUGUCUAUUUCGAUUCCUCUGCGUUAUAUGAUUCAUCAUAUGGCAAACUAAAGAAGCUAUAUAGUCCGACAUGCAGUUUGCAGGUGUAAAAUAAAUCGAAAGGCCUUCACCAGUUUCAUUCUGAUUUGAGUGACAGCUUUCAUUAUUCCAGUACCCUCCCCGUCAAGCUCGGGCCAAAAAAAAUGAGGAGAACCAAAGAAUUUUCUCCUGUCCUUUCGAAACCUACGUUGUUUUAUUGUUCGAAUGGCUGUUAUUAAUAGGAUCUUUAUGUAAUAUGUGAUGGAACUAUUAUAAACAAGCUCAAAGCAAAUCCUCUGCAUGAAACCAAAGUAGAAGAGAAAAAGGGGGGAAACUCAUGAAUAGAACCAAAUGGUUCAAUCAGUUCAACAUGUUCAUCCAAUCAUCUGGUCGAUUCACGUUCCAACUUCGAAUAAUUCGGUCAAUAAAGUCAUGACUCAUGUCGUAUAAGCAGUCAAACAUAAUGCCAUUGCCCUUUGGAUAAAAUAUCUAGGCACUUGUUGAGCAGCCAAGUUAUAAAUUAUACAGUCAAUACAUUGACUUUACUUGCGACUUUUCUCGUGUUAUUGAGUAGCGAAGUUAUAAAUUAUAUAAUCAAUACAUUGACUUUAAUUGCGACUUUUCUCGUGAUAUAUAUAAUCAAUAUGCUCAAAAUUAGACUAUUUUGUUUUUGGUAUAUUUCACUAAUGUUUUAACUUGUUAGUGCAGCCCACAUUAUGCAUGAUUGAGUUAAAGUUUUGGUAGAGAACGAGCGAAUCAGACUAUAUGAUUAUCUUGUGAGUAGCUUUUAACUACAAAGUUCCACCAUUGUAAUGCAAUAGGAUGAAGAGGAACAUCUGAGAGUGGUGGCCCCAAAGAAAUUGCUUCGAUUGAAACUUGAACGCACGACCAAUGACUACAAAUUUGGCAUAGUAGAGUCCAAGUACCAACCAAAUGAGUAUAAAUCUUGAGGGUGUACUUUCACCCUUCCAAAGGUUCUUGACAUUUUUCUCAAUCUUCAACUGUAGCCAACGCCAAAGAAAAUUUGGUUUCAGGUAUGAAAAUGUAUGGCUGUGUCUACCCUACUUUAUAGACUCAUGUUUUAUUUUUUUCUUUUUUUUUGGUCUUGAGACUCAUGCUUAAAAGAAUCAAGUUUGAGCUUAUACGAUUAAAGUGAUUGCAAAAUGCCAAUACAUGAACUUCCUGGAUCCGAGAGCUGAUUGUACACUAACAAACACUGUUAAUUUUGUGCUCAAAAUUCUUACGAAUGAGAAACAACUAUCUUUCAGGAACCUUGUUACUGAAAAUCUUGCCUGCAAUCGAUAGAUUAUUUGCUGAUCCCAUGACAUUCGCUUUUUUCAUGAAAGAAGUCUCACAUUCCCAGAAUUGUAGCUUGAAGUGGUCAUCUAAAUGGUAAUCUCGUUGACAAACAUGACUUUAUGCUUAACUUCACAUCCAGAACCACCUGCACAUGCAGUCUUCCUGCAAGCAUCUUGAAAUUCGACCUUUGCUAAAUAAUAACAUGAUGUCAAAGCUUGCAAAGAGUCGACUACUGCACCACAUUAGAAGAGGUCCCUUUAUAUCAAGAAUCCUAUCAAGAUUAUCAGCAUCAAGCACAUUAUAAGCACCUUUAGCGAAGAACUUUGGAACGCCUUUCCAUAACGUCUCAUGACAAAUCUCAUUCCGGUCCACAUCUCCAUCUUGUGAUGUUUGGGAAUGCUCUCUGAAUUUUAUGAAAUCCAGCUUGAAUCUACACAAGAAGGAUAGGAUUUACUAAUUAUCAAUAAAUAGAGAUAACUAAGAUCGGAGCAUCACGAUUUACAUCAUGAAAGAUACGGUACAAAUGCACAAACAUCAUUUGCACCAAUUGCAGUUGGACCGCAAUGAACAGAGACUUCAUGAGCUGCCUGAUGAAAACGAAAACAACAGGCUUGGGAGAAGUAGCAAUUAGCAACACUUUCCUUGUUUAUGUUUAGGAACAUAAUUGAUGUCAAUAAAAAUAUGCUGAAAGGUGAAGUGCUUAAACUACAAAGCAGAAAAAUGAAUUUAUUACUUGGUUAUUUUGCAAUAUCCUGUUAGCAAAAUCAGCAAUACAGGAUAGUAUCACAUCGAUAAACUGAUAGAGAUGAAGGAGAUUGUCCUCAUGCAUACUUACAUACUGAUUUUUCAAGUAAAAUUCCACAGCUCGCAUAGUAUAAGCACACAGGUUAUUGUUUCAUUGUUAUGGUACGACUAGUAGUGCAUACCUCCCUUUUUAGAGCCUUAUCGAGUUUAGGAGCAGUAACAUUUGAAUGCAACGGCAUCAAACACCUCUGCAUCAGAGUGACAUCCAAAAAAAUCAGUAGCUACGUAUUUGAUUAACAGAGAGGUUGAACCUCAUGAGCACACAAAAAGCAGACUCAACUCAAAAUACAAUAUCAAAAUCAUUCAGGUAUGUCCUGUUGAGCCUAGAAAAAGUGUACUAGAUCCUCACAAGCAUCAAAACUUCCUCAAGUGACAUAGAGAAUCUCGGGCAAAGACAAGUCACCGAUUUCACUUGGAAUUGCUCUAUCAAAUUACAGCAUGAUAAGAGACUUGUAGUGCGCAGAUUUUUCAACGAUCCUAUAGCACUAGGAAGCUUUUCAAUCCCAACACCACUAAUGUCUAGAUGUUGCAAAUUCUAUAAAUCCCAAAUUAAGCUAGGGAUGUCUCCGAGUGACACACAACAGCUGGCACUCAGUUUCUCCAGAUUCCUCAAAGAACCGACAAACUUAGGAAUCUCAGUAAUAUUAGCAAAAUCUAAUAUAAGUUCUUCUAAUUUGACAGAUUCGCCUCCUUUCAGUUCUAACUCACAUACCAUCCGCUCUUGGUCCAGUCCAUUGCCACAUUCUUCUUCGACGAUCCAAAUCUCCUGUGGAUCCUAAGAUUGCCACGCUCUCCCCAAUUUCAACUUGGUGAUCCAACCGAACGUUGAGAUGCACCUUCUCCCGUCCCGACUUUGAUAUGAUCUUCUUCGCUUUCUUCUCUCUUCUCUGCAACAAACACACUAAAUUAUAGCUUCUACCAAUAGCCUCCUUCCUUGUCUAAACAACUUAAAUAGCAAUUUUCACUUGAACCACCAAUUCAUUCUGUCAUUUAACACCACAUUCAAAGAGAAACCUCAAAUACAGACAGUGUCAGACGAUCAGUGCCACUAGCUUUUAUUGCAAGAAAAACUCAAAAGAAUAACAAAAUAACUCUUUUAUUUCGCACCAGUUCUCAUUCAAGAAAUAGACCCAACAUAAACUCCAUCCACACUAGCAACACAGACAAACCUUUGAUAAAAAAAAUUGCAUAAAACAACUCAAUACUUCACCGUAGACCCCAUUGCCCGAUCAGACUGAGGUAACUGUACUAGAACAAAUUCACCAAGACUUGGUUUUGGUAGUGGAAUCACCACAAACAACCAUGGAGGAACGACUCCAAGUGGCGUGAGUUCCAUGCGUCCGCAUGAGAGAAUCUCGAAGGGGAGAAGUAAUGCUGCUCUUCAAGAACGAACUGGUCUCUCUACUUAGUUUUAGGUAUGAAAAUGUGCAUGGCUUUGCCUCUCCUACUUUUAUAUUCAUGCUUAAAUAAAUCAAGUUUGAGGUUAUCCGACCAAAGUGAUUGGAAAUGCCUACAUAUGAAUUUUGAUGUAACCAGGGCAGACAUGAUUUUAGAAUGCCAUUGUUUUGGGUUCAAAAUUCUUCCAAAUAAGAAACUACAGUCUUCUUGGAAACCUUUUCAUUGAAACUCUUGGCUGCAUUUGACAGAUUAUUUGCUGAUUCCACGACAUUUGCUUUUUCCACAAAAAAUGUCUCUCCCAGCCAUAAAACUGUAGCUUGAAGUGGGCAUCUAAAUGGUAAUCUUGUUAACAAAUCUCAUUUUAUGCUCUACUUCACAUAUAAAACCACUUACACAUGCGGUCUUCCUCCAAGUGAUCUGUGAUGCAUCCUUUGCUAAAGAAUCGCAUGAUUUCAACCUUGCAAACUAAUACACCACAUGAGAAGGGGUCGCCUUAUAGCAAAGAACUUCGAAAUGCCUUUCUAUACUGACAUAGCUCAUUCUUGCUCGUAUCUAAACCCUGUGGUGUUUCGGGACUUUCUCCAAGUUUCAUCAAAUGCAGAUUUAAUCUACACAAGGAAGAUAGCACUAAGUAAUUAUCAAUAAAUGAAGAUGUCCAAGAUCAUAGCAUCAGAACUUACCCCAUGAGAGAUAAGGUACAAAUGCAUAAACAUCGGCACCAAUUAGAGUUGGACCACGAUGAACAGAGACUUCAUUAGCUGGCCAAUGAAAAAGAAACCAACAGGCUAAAAGAGGUAAGCAAUUAGCUCCCUGUUUGUGUUUAGGAACAGAACUGAAAUUAAUAAAAUUAUGCUGAAAGGUGAAGUAACUAAACUAUAGAACAGAAAGAUGUAUUUGCUACUUGGUAAUUUUGCAAGAUCCAAUAGCAAUACGGGAUAGUUUGCGAGGAGGUCAAUUUCAACUUUACAAAUCCAAUGCCACAUACAUGAGAAUUGAGCUUGUCAAAUCUAUAUGAUAACAUUCGAAGGCUAUCAUCACACAAAUAAACUGAUAGAAAUGGAGGAGCCUAGCAGUGCAUACCUCCCUCUUCAUAGCCUCAUCAAUUCCAGUGUGAUAUCAUUAGACUUCAACCGCAUCGAACAACUCUGCAUCAGGGAUCAGGGUAACAUUCAAAAAAUCAGCAGUUUAGUAUUUGAUUAAAGGAGAGCUAGAACCUAAUGAGCAUAUAGAAAGCAUAUUUAAUUGAAAAAAAUACAUUUACAAUCACUUAGGGAUGGGACGUUGAGAUCAGAUUGAGUGUUUUGGAUCUUCACAAGCAUCAAAACUUCCUCAGGACACUCUAGUUGGCCCCAAAGCCUCUUCAAGUUUGCCACGCAAGAUGGUCCUCAGCUGUUGCUGAUGCUUCCUCUGCAAAAUCCCUUUUCUUUAUUUUGAUCGGUCUCAAGUAUGGAAUUUGAAGUUCCUUGGCCAAGUGAGCCACGCCCAAAUCAGUCAUGUGAUAAAGCAAUUCCAUGACAAUAAUAGGAUCAAAUGGGAUGCAAACUAAUCAGCAAAUUCUUGAGCUCCUCAUCCCAGCUUGUUUCACAAUAGAUUGAAUUGAAGUCCCAAAGUAAACCUUGGUCGUUACAUAGACCAACCAAACCUGUAAUAGAAGCAACACUAAUUUACCUUGCUUGAUAAACUUUCAAAACAAUAGUUUGACUACUAGUAAUGUUCAGGUGGUGUACAUUCAUCUAUGACAGACUAACCAAAACUACUUCAACAUUUUUUUUUUAUCACUAACUAGAAACACUUGAUAUGUUUUAUUUUAGCUCAGUUCAUUAUACUUAAUGGGAAUUGAUGCUCUUCUUAGAAGUUUCAAGAGGGACAUCAAGGGAACAAUAAGAAACUUGACAGGGUUUCCAUUCAUCACAGAAAACUGAUAUGUUUGUCCCAAACAAGACAUCUGCCAUUAGUCAAAUUUGAUACAAAAGAACUCAUGAAAGUAACUCAAAAUGGCCAAGGAUUUUUUUCAAAGAAAAUAUUGAUUUUGGACAAGGAAAUUCUAGGCAUAGUUUACUAUAUUGAGUAGCAAAAGUUCAUCGGCCUCAAUUCGAAAAUUUCAAAUCCCAGGUUUACUGAUAGAGGAACUAUUAAAUCACUAGGGAAUUGUUCAUCUUUGCUUGAUAUUUUCAUCUUUGCCUCGCAAGCUGCUAAUAUGUUUGCAGUCUGCAGAAGCUGCCAAUGGAAGAAUAAAUGAAAAAUAUUGCUAUGUCGAAACCAAUGGCAAUAUAUGUAGGCAAAUCUGGAGUUUCCAAAAUCGAUCAGAUAGAUACCCAAUGUGGAGCAAAUCAUUCUUUAAAAAAAAAAAAAGUAGAGCUUCGAGAAAAGUAUUACUCUAUUUGCUCAUGCUGACCAUUCAAGGAUGAAGAAUCUUACUAUGCCUUCUAUUGACAUUCGGGUCUGCAUUUUGAUCUCGGCUGAAGCAUCAUGUCAGAUUCUAUGACCAACUCCCCCACUCCUUCAAAUAUCUAAGACAAGGAAUUUAGGGAAGUACAAAAACCUGUCAUGGAAAACCUGUGACAUCCCAAAUUUUCAACCCUGUCUUUUACUGAAUAAAUUUGGCAUUUCAUUGACGCGUCUAUAGGGUUAUUCUCAGAGCCGAUCACUCUCGAGAUAACUAGACUAGCUGGGAAAAUUAUUAAGGAAUUUUAAGGCAAUAGACUUUAGAACUCGAUCAGGAAUCGGCUUCUUGACCGUGUCCAUCUUUAGAGGUCACUACGGCACAGUUAAAAAUCGAUUUGAAAUCAGAGAUAGACUGGAUCGAUAGAGAUAUGUGACUAAUCGUGGGUGACACCACUGAAUUAGAAAAUUCUCGUCGGCCAACACUAGACUGAUUUUCUUAUUAUUUUGGUACCCUGUGUCCGUAAUUGAAUCCUCGAGAUUUUCACGACAAUCAAGAGUCGCUAAUGAGUCGAGUGGGUUCAUAGUGGUUCGAAGAAAAUCGACCACGGGUCAUUUGCACUUAAAAAUAUCUGAAAGUUACCCAGUAGCCUAGAUCACGCUAAAAACGCGUCGAAUGGAAAUUAACCGUCAAUUCGAGUCCGAUUUCAGAAAUUGAAGUUUUGGCCAUGUCACAAUAAAUUUUAGGAGCAUCGACUCACUCUCAUAAGAUUUUUCGGAGAUUCGGGAAAUUUUAUGGAUAUUGGGUUCGGACGUCGCGGAAAUUUGGCAAAAGUUCAGAUUGGCUAAAUUAAUGGGAAAUUUGACUUUCGGGUUGAGCCUGUGUGUGUUGGAGAUUUAUAAAAAAAUUUCUUGGGAUUUUUCUACAUCAAAAUUGGACCUCAAUUUGGAGAGAUUGGAAUUGAAAUUUAGUUCGCCUUUAGUUAAAAUCGAAUCUUAAGAUGGGGGUGUGCAACAUUGGUAUCACUUUGGAUUUUUGGUGGAUUCUUGAAUGAGGAAAAAUGCACAGACGAUCAAGGAAUGAUCAAUUGAAUUUGUGAGAAUCAAAGUGAGGUGGAAUCAAGAGAGAAUGGUUGUGCAAUUUAAGCCAUCUCCCCCAAAUUCGUGUACCCCAUCUAGCCACAACAUUUGGACCAUUUUGGCUUCUAGAAGAGGGGAUCAUGUUGGAUCAUUGAAGACCAAGUAAAUUAUACAUGGCCUAUAAUGAUCUUUGGAAGAUAUUUGCAAAAUAUCAAGCUUAAGGGGGCCCUAACCUCUCAUCACAAUCCUCUCUCUCUCUGCCGCUUUUCUUGAGCGAGUCCCUCACGCCAUUUACUCAUCUCUCUCUCCCUUCUCAUUUCCUUCGUGCGACAACCUCCUCUCUGCUUUUACCUGCGGCUGCCUCGUCCAAACCUUGCGUCCACGAGUGUCUUUGGUCAGCAAUCUCCAUAGAAUUGAAGCUCACGAAGACUCCACCGAACGCCAUCUUCUCUCCAUCCGCGGCCAGCCGUCCGCGAUUCUGCUUCCCCGGUCAACCGUCGAAGAUCACAGCAAGCACCGAAACCAUUUUGUUGACUGAAGCUCCUCACCGCUUCGUGCGUUCAGCGAAGCCACAGUCCACCAAGCCUCCAGUCCACGUGCCGGUUUCCACUUCUCCAUCUUUGGCCAAUAAAUCCACCGAGAAACCAGUCUACGGGAUUUUCCAUCCAGCGAAAUCUUCAGCAGGAUUAAUCUCGAUCGUUGACUGCCCGUGCACUGCCACCGACUCAACCGAGUUUGGCCAGCGAAGCAGCGUCCACGAGCAGCUUCCAUCUUUAGCCUUCCCCUGUGGCGUGCCCUCAGCUCCACGCCAGCACGCCAGUCAACUCCAACGCCCACGGAAGACCACCGAUUCAACCAAGUCUUCAUCUGCGANNNNNNNNNNNNNNNNNNNNNNNNNNNNNNNNNNNNNNNNNNNNNNNNNNNNNNNNNNNNNNNNNNNNNNNNNNNNNNNNNNNNNNNNNNNNNNNNNNNNUAGUUAACAGAUGAUCCAAUAAGUUCUUUGAAAAUUUCUUCGGAUUUCGAAAAGAAAUAAAAUCUCAUUUUCCCCUCGUCCACAGCAUGCAUGAUUUGAACUAACCGUCACUUUUGUCGAGUUUGAGCGUCACUUGCUGUUCUCUUGUGAGUCAGGACACAAGCUAGAGUUUAGAACAGGUCAAUUACUUCUCGUUAGUCCGUGCUCAUCGAACGCUUGAUAUAAUGCCUUAUUGUUGUUCUAAAGAUGAGACCGGGUUUUAUUUGCUUCUGUGAAAGCAUGUCGAAGAUCUGUUUAAAUAUGUUUCAUUGACUUGAAAUAUCUUUUGUUUGGUGCGGGAUAAAUGCGACACCAAGGUCUAGGUUCAUCGACAUGCUAUAUUACUUUUAGUUAGACGCCUGAAACUCAUUCGACGAAAUGUUUUGAAGAAAUAUGUAAGAAAUAGCUGCUGUUUCUGUUCGAAUCUGAAGAUGCUGGUCAUUAACUUAGUUUCCAUGAAUAAUGAGAUCACUAAGUUGCAUUUUGUUUGAUAUAUUUGUGUCUCCUUCAUUGAACGGGAUGAGUUGACGGUGUGAUGGAAGACGUCGGAAAGUGAGCUCGUUUUAUUUCGGUGGUGGUCCAUGCUGGUUGGAACGGAUGACCAGCGGGGUGCGGUGGUGUAAGCUCCGGCGCCCGAGGAGGAUGUUGUGAUGCCUGGGUGUAUGAGUUCGAAAAAUGAAAGAGAAGAAAUUGAAGUUGCAGAGAAUGAAAGCUUCGGAGGAAGAAGAUGACCAGAAGAAAAGGAUAAAACAGGGGGAAAGACAAAAAGAGAAAAGAAAACAUAAUAAAUGAUUUUUUAAAAAAAAUUGGGCUCUUUGCGGAGGCGGGUCGGAUCCAAGUUGUCGGAUUGGGUCAACAGUCCGGAUUGGAUUACCCGGCCCGAACUUGUUUUCCCGCUUAUAAUAAUAUCAAAUUUUAAAAAGUUAAAAAAAUAUUUUUAAAAUGUAAAAUUAAAGAAAAAAGAAAAUUAAAAAUAACAUUGAAAAUUAUAAUAAUAUAAAAUGCUAAAAAUCGAAACCUGAUCAAGUAUUGUUUUCUCCACUUGAGCUUAGGCUCAAGUCGACUCAAUCCUCACAUAACUACGAGUCAGCAGGCUUAGCAGUAAAACUUGGCAAUAAAAUCACACAAGCUGAUCAUCCAGUUGUUACUUCAUGUGAAGAAUAAAAAAUGGUUAUACAAAGAGAAAAAAGGCAAAGAAAGAAAGCUGUGGCAUACCAUUUUGAGUAGAACAAAUUCCUCCAAUAUUCACGGCUCAAAGCCAAGAGUCAAUCGAACAAUCGACGACAACCAGAUGAGAAGGGGAAAUGGAUGAAAUCUACAUGGCAAUAUGACUGCCAGACUAAUAAACACUACAUCAAAAUAAGGCACGUAAUUAUCGUCCCUUCCCAUCCCAUUCAACAGAACGAGGAAUCUCUACAACAUAAUUCAAGUACUAAAUUGGCCGAAAAGAAAAAAAAAAAAAAAACUAUUGUAGGUCCAGGCCAAUAUUUCACAGUUUUAUAAUAUGCAAGAAUAGUCCGAUUUCUUUGGGAAUAGGAAGCCAUGCAAAGAAGACCCUAGAAUUAGGCAUAAGGUGAUAGUGUGAUGUCGGUAAUCAAUCCAAUCAAUGAUUUUCCUUGUCACAUAAAUGUCCAGAGCAAGAUAUAUGCAUCAAUUAUCAAAUUCUAUAACAAAGGGCCAGAUCACCGAAUUGUUCUUCCAACUAAACUAGUCCCACCAAUUUAUGGUGGCUUCCCUUGAAACUUUACUAGCCAAAUUAAGACAGCUAUGACUACAUAGACAUUCUAUCUAUUCAUCCGCGACCAACCCACCGGCUUCCUUCCAACAUCACCAACAAAUUCAGUAGACCAAGCAUUUCCAUAAAUGACUUACGCAUUUGUCAACACUUAUCAACUGAAAAAGAACGUCUUUAGUUACGAAUUGACUAUCUCAUUAGGCAAUAACUCAAUUUCUCAAGUGAAGUAAUCCCGACAAAACGAAGGAAGAUUUUGAUACCGUUAUCAUUUCAAUCAAUUAAAACAUAUUUUCUCAACAAAAUUGAACGAUUAUUCUUUAGAUUUGACGAGGUUUGAGUGUUAUGUUAGGGAGUGAGGGAGAGAGAGAGAGAUGUACUAACCUUUUUCGUAGUAACUAGAAGACAAGAGCGAAGUAGCGUGAGGAGAAGCUCCAAAUAUAAGAAAUUGUGAAAAAAGUACUUUUUCUGCAACAUAUACACAGUCUUAGUCGAUAGUAUAUUCCUUUUGUGUAUAUUUAGUAAUAUAUUAAAUAGAUUAUAACAUUCUUUAUAUUUUGUAAAGUUUUGUAGCCAAUGUGUCAAUAAUUUUCUUUACUUGUGAUAACUUUUCUCAGGCAAAACAAAUUUGAUGGAUUAUGUUUUUGCCCUCUUUAUUCAACUAUCCCCCUUGAAUGUAAGACCGAUAUCGUAAAAGAGAGCUUUGACUUAUGAAGUUUUCAUGACAAUCAUAAUGUUUUGUGCACAAUAGAGUGAUAGUAAAGUAUUGUUGGAAAUGCUAUUUUUCCCUCUUUUUUUUUUAAAUCGUUCUAUUGAAAUAUGAUUAUUAAUAUAUAUAUAUAUAAAGGUAAAAUCUUAAAUUAAAGAAAAUGUGUUACUUUGUCAAUUUUUUUUGGUUUUGUGGAUAAACAGCAACAGAAAAGAAAUUUGAGAUACGCAUCGUAAAUCUAAAACUUUUAGUACGACAUGCAAGUCUCGUGUUUGCAAGGGGAGCCUUCACACCAAACUUUUUGUUGGUGUCAAAUAAAACCAGAAAAAAAGUCGUAGGGUGGGCCGGAAAUAGAACUUAAACAAACUUCAGGGGCGAAAACAGAAUUGUCAAAAAAAGAAUGUAAAAAUAUGGCUCCAAGUCUCUCCCAUUCUCCGGCGUACAAAAUUGGAAAACGAAAAUCAUCAAUCCCGCCAUCGCUGGGAAGGUUCCUGAACGAGAGCACUUCGAGCUCGCUCGAAUAUCCGAUUUGAGACUAGAGAUCGAUUUGAUUCCGACUCGGGCAUCAUCAAUCGAUCGAAUCGCUCGAACAGGUUGAGAUUCCAUCGAGGGAGCGGGGCUCGGAGGUAGAGAAAGCUCGGUUGCUGAGCUCGGCUCUCGAGUUCGGAUUCGACGAGCAGUCCGCCAACAAGUGCUCGGACCAUCUCGUUUCGUGCUCUACGGUGACUCGAAUCGUUAUUUCGUCGCGCGUUCUUAUGCUAAUUAGCGUUUGCGGAGAUUAUGGAGGUGGCUCUCGUGCCCACGAUGAUGAUGAUGAUGAUGGCUGUGGAAUCGUCUUGCUUUAGGUUUAAAUGCAUCGGAGCGGGUUUAGCGAAGUAGCAGUCCUACUGAUGAGCGAAAUGUCUGGCACUGGUCCAGCUUGAUGUGCUUAGGUUACUUCGGAUGGACGGCGGUUUUUUCUUGAUUAUUGGCCCAAACUGCGUGAUGUCUGGUCAUCAGGGAAUGAAUGACUUUAAUCGCUUGUGUUGCGGGGAUAGUUUGUGCAUUUGAUUGAACGUGCAUUCCUAGUUAAGGAGAUUCUUUGCGGUUAGUCUCGAUUCUGAUGAUGGCUAUGGAAUCACGGUCUACUUUGGGAUUUGAAUGGGACCAGAGUUUAGGUCAUUGAGCGUUAGUCUCAUCCCCUGCUUCUUAGUGGGUUCGGCGGAGUAGUCCUAUUGACAAGUGAACUGUCUAGCUUAUAUCACUGCAAAUUACUUAUGGUAUCUUGCAGUAAUAGCAAUAUCGAGUCUCUUUGAACUAAGUGCAAAUUACAUAUUGGAAAUUGUAUUUAUUUGAUCUCUUGUUUGCCAUGGAUCUUGCAAAAUCAUCUCUUUCUUCUUUUGCUUUUCUCAAGGUGAUGAAGGUCGAGAGUUGAUCACCGUGGAGCACUGUGGCGAUGACACCCUAGCAGAACUUGUUGAAACCAUGCAAGAUUCUUAGGAUUGGGAUGAUUUGCAAGCUGUGGAAUCAAAAGCUUGUGGAGUUUUGACCAAUAUGUUUGGCCAAGAUAUCUGUAAUGACGGUGAAUGCAAUGUUAUACUUGAUGUUGAUAUUAUAGAAGAUUCCCCACAACGUGUGAAAAUCAAACUUUCCUUGAGGUGAGGAUUCCUCUACCAACGGUGAAGACAAAGAUGAUGUAUUGGGCAGUAAAACGGGAAGGAAAUCCUCAUGUAUAUUCCUGGCCAAAGCAGUACUCUAAGCAAUACAUCCACUUAGAUUCUGGGCAGAUAAUCUUUAGAAUCCAUGGUAUGCUUCUCCCAUGGACAUAGACAAUACUGCCAAACCCCUUAAAUCAGUGUGUGACUGUACUUUUCUCUUAUAAUUUGUUCUCUGCUUGAAUAUUUCCAAUUUGCUUGUGAUUCAGCACAUAGCAAAGGACCUACACAAUGUUCAUGUCCAAAAGCAUUUAGUAAAUUGCUUAUGGGGUCUCUCAUCCAAUCAAAUGUCCAAUUGACGGUCAUAACUUUUGCCACUCACUUCCACACUCUUCAAGAUCCUAAAUGACAUAUUAGAACUCUUUGGUCAAUAAAGAAGUUGAUUUCAGUUUUGGAUGAUGUACAAAUACAUAUAUUUUUCAAAUGCUAUGAGAGUACAGCAGAUCAUCAAAGUGUGGAACUUAGCAAUCCAGCGUCUUUGAUAGGAAUGUUUUGUGUAAAUGAAGGCUUGUGAUUUCUUUGAGCACAUUUUUCAUUUUCCAUGACAAUCCAUGUCAGAAACUAUUACGGGACGAAGAGGCUUAUUUCUGUUGAAGGACUGUAAGAGCACUGUCACUCAAGGCUCAGUAUCAUUAGUUUCAAAUAAAAGACAUUGCUCUCCGAUUUCGACAUCCAAACAAGGGACUUUGAGUUAUGUGGAAUUUCAAGCCUUGGGUGACAUAGAAUUGGCAAAUGUUGUCAUAUUCGGAAAUAAGGCAUUUCGACCAAUGCAGCAUCAGGCUUGUAAAGCUUCUGUAGCCAAGCAAGUUUGCUUUAUUCUCAUGCCCACUGGAGGUGGUAAAAGUUUAUGUUACCAGGUUAGUGAAUGUUAACAUUGUCUCAACUGGGUGAUGAUUAUAUGUAGAAGUGUGUGGAGACAAUGUUAGAGCACAAGCCCUGUGCACUUUGCUCAGUGGUUCCACCAAUUAAAUGUUUAAGGGUAGACCUGUAUGUCAACAUUUAAGCUUUAACAUGAUCUUCUGAUCUGCUUUGUUUAGCAUUUUAAAGAAAAUUGUGAACUUAAGGAAGGAAAUGUUUUUCAAAUGAAAAUUAAGCUAUAGGAAGUGAUUCAGGUACAUAAGCAUGGUAACAAUGUAUGGCAUCGGACAAAAGUAGAGAAGAAGGAAAUACAGUACAUUCUCGUUCUGCCUUUGCACUUCUCUAUCUGGUCUGUAAGUUUUAGGAUUUGAAGUUUGUGCUACGCUUCUAGGACCUUCUAAUCACUUACAGGAAAAUUCAUCGUGUAUGCAUGUUAAGUGUUGCUGUCAUUCAUAAUUCAGGUCCAAUUCAAAAGGGUUAUUAAGUCGAAGAGAAAUAAGUUUGCAAUGUACUUCCACCAAAUGUGGGUUCUAGAUUUUUAUAUUUCCUUUGCAGUUAUUUGCUAUGCCAUUAUCUCAACAAAGGGUGAUGAUCUAUGACUUCUUUUUCCCAUUAUUGAUCUGAAAUUGUUGUGCUUUAAUAGACAAUGGAUCUUGGUUGCAAGCAAAAUUAAUGAUAACUAAAUUAAGGAGGAAGAUAUAAAUCUAGAUUUAUUAAGUUGAAUUUUUUAGAAGUGUUUUCUGUUCAGUCUUGAAGUAGUUGCUAUAUGUACUGAAAGUAAGUAUAAACAAGUGACAACUGGUCCUUCCUGAUCAACUGAAGGUGAAAGAAAUAAUAAUUCCAUUGUCCCUUCCUUUCUUCAUUUGCUCUUCUGAUGUUUUUACCCUUCGUUUCAACUGCCAACAACUCUAAAACCAGGUGUCACAGUCAUUAUAUCUCCCUUGCUAUCUCUUAUCUAGGAUCAAAUAAUUAUUGUAAUCCUCAAGUACAGCAUACAAUCUACUUUCUUGAACUCUCAACAGACUGUUGCCCAAUUGGCAGUUGUCCUCCGAGAACUAAGGCAAGGUUUAGCUCUAUUGGACUUCUAAAACUUUUAUGCCAAGUGUUGUGAUUGUCAAAUUAUUAACCUCCACUUCUGCUUUGCCUACCCUUUCACAAAAGAUAAACAUUGGGCAAGCUAUUGCAUGUAACUCCUGAAAGGAUUGGGGGAAAAAUAUCAUUUCUCAAGAUAUUGAAAUGCUUGCACAGAAGGGUAUUGUUUCUGAUGCACUGUAACUUUUUAUCAAAAAGGUUAUUUAUAAUUUCUUAUAUUCGAUGAUAUAUUAUUGCAGGCACAACUAGCUGUGGUAGUUGUUGAUGAGGGACAUUGCAUGAGGUAUGCGUAAUCUUUGGCAUGCCUUGUACAUGAAGAAAGAUCAUGCUAGAGUUACUUCAAAAUGAAUAAUCAUUUCUGAUGUUGCCACUGCAAAACUAUUGUCCUUAUUCCAGAUAAAUAUAAGCAAGUUUCCUUUUAUAUAAGCUAACUUAAACUCUUUUUCCAAACCUUUUUGCAUUUUCUGUGUUUCUAGCCUUAUUAAAUUGUUAGUGUUACCCUAGACCUUCUGAAGCCCCUGUGAAGUUUUAAUAUAACAGAAUGCAAUGUUCAUUGUAUGAGCUUUGGAAAAGAUCUAGGUUCUAUCGUUUGGGAGAACUUAGUGGCACAUCAUUCAUUAUAUUGAGUAAGAGCACUCAACUUAAAUAAGCUGCAAUGGAAAUGACUUCCUAAAGUAAUUGGAAGUGGCUAGAAGUGGCAUAAGCUUGGAUAAGGAUGCCAUCUGCUGUCUAUGUUUGGCAUGAUACUCCAUCUCUUAAGCUGGUUCUUGUGUAUCUAUUUAUUCUAUUAAUGGUUGCACUAUAUACUGACAACUUGAGAAAGGCAAAGGUCCAUCCACGUGAUCAUUUAUUGUGUUUCUUACAAGUUAUUAACUGGAUUUGCUCGGCCAGUUCAAUCUCAUGACAGGAAGAUGCCAUCUGCUAUCUAUGUUUGGCAUAAUACUCAGUCUCUUAAGCUUGUUCUUGGGUACCUGUUUAUUCUAUUAAUGGUUAUACUAUAUACUGACAACGUGAGAAAGGCAAGGGUCCACCCACAUGAUCAUUGAUCAUGUUUCUCAAAAGGUAUUAACUGGAUUUGCUUUGCCAAUUUAAUCUCUUGAAAGGAACAUGCUGCUGGUUUGAGCUUUUAUUGUACAUUUGCCUGAUUGACCACAAGAGCUCAUUGGUUGUCACUUUCGUGGUUGUCAUGAAAGGAACGUACUGCUGGUUUGAGCUUUUAUAUAUGCUAACUUAAGCUCUUUUUCCAGACUUUUCUGCAUUUUCUAUGUUUCUAGCCUAAUUAAAUUGUCCGUGUUACACUAGACCUUCUGAAGCCCAGAACCCUAUGAAGUUUCUAUAUAACAGAAUGCAGUGUUCCUUGUUCGAUGAAAAGAUUUAGGUUCCAUCGUUUGGGAACACUUAGUGGCCCAUCUUUCAUUAUAUUGAGUAAAGAGUGCACAACUUAAAUAGGCUCCAAUGGAAAUUACUUCCCAGAGUAAUUGGAAUCGGCAUAAGCUUGGAUAAGGAUCCAAUCUCCUAUCUAUGUUUGGCAUGAUACUCAGUCUUUUAAGCUGGUUCUUGUGUCCCUGUUUAUUCUAUUAACGCUUAUACUUUAUGGUAACAACUUGAGAAAGGCAAAGGUUCAACCAUGUGAUCAUUGAUUGUCUUUCUUACAAGGUCUUAACUGGAUUUGCUCUGCCAAUUUGAUCUCAUGAAAGGAAAAUGCUGCUGGUUUAAGCUUUUCUUGUACAUUUAGACUGAUUAAGGAGUAAAGCUCAUUGAUUGUCACUUUUGUGGUUGUCAUGUUUAGUCGAGGGGGACCUGAUUUUCAGCUAGAUUAUAGGGGACUGGGAUGUCUCAAGCAGAACUUUCCGUAUGUCCCAGUGAUGGCCUUAACUGCAACUGCCACUCAGUUCGUGAGUACUAAACUCACAUAUUAACCUCCUGAUUAUGUUGAAAUAAUCUAUUUAUUCUGAUUGAAUUAAACAUCCAUCGCAGGAUAUCCUAAAAGCUCUUGGGGUUCCCCAUGUUCUCAUAUAUUAGAUCUAGUCUGUCAAAGCUUGGGGACCCAAGGUUUGACAGACUAGAUCUAAAAUACGAGGUCAUAGCUAAGACCUAGGAACCACUGAAGCAGCUUGAAGGGCUGCUAAAAAAUUGUUUUGCUAAUUUUUGUGGCAUAGUAUAUUGCUUUUGGAAGAGUGAAUGUGUUAAUGUCGCAAAAUACUUGAAUGAGAAGUGCCAUAUAAAAAUGGUGUACUAUCAUGCUGGAUUAGUAGCUUGUCACUGUUAAAAAGAAAUGGCAUACUAGAGACUGGAGAGAUCCAUAUUGUGUGUGCCACCAUUGCCUUGGGAUGGGAAUAGACAAACCUGAUGUUGUAAGUCGAAAUGGACUUUGGCCUUUGCCUAUUUCUUACGUCUUAGAAGUCGAUAAACAUGGUGGAAUGACCCGGAGAAGCAGAGAAGAGGAGGGUGGCCAGAUACAAGCUUUAUUUGGUCAAGGGCAAGUUCAAGGCUUCUUUCAAACAAGGGUUCCGGUGGUUGAAGCACAAAUGCUCGAGCUUUAUGUGUCGAUUUUUAAUAUGUAGAAAUUACGGAAUAUCAUGCUCAUCAUCAUCAAGAGAGAAAAGGAUGAAAUCAGUCAGGAGGAAACAAAGAGGUUUGCUUUGUUUAUAGGCUAAUCAUCUUACUAUGUAUUUAAUGGUAAUUAAGUAUUCAGAAGAGUGCCACAAUGUUUGAUUUUUCCAGUAUAAUGUUUGUUCGAAGCCUUGUUUCAUUCAUCGGUCUCCAGCAUUCGAAACAUAGGAAGAUGAGACCACUCGUAUGUGAUAUUCACAUAUAUUUACAUUUGCCAAAAAAAAAUUUCCCCAAAUUUCCUUACCUUCUGAUUUAUCUGCACCAUGAUUCUGCAUGCAUUCUCGUGUAAAGUAAAAAUUGUCUGACCUGCUAAUUUAUCUUCUCAACAACAUGAGGCUGAUUGCAAAAUAAGAUGACUACUUUCAUUUGUAGGAUUUGACGUUUACAUCUAGUUUGUGGUCGAUUUUGUUGUUUAGAGCUUCUAUUUUUGGCCAAAUGUUGUUUUAAGUCCCCGUUUUGGGGUUCAUUAACCCUGUAAUUCCUCAAUUUGUCUAUUUCAAUUCCUCUGCAUUAUAUGAUUCAUCAUAUGGCAAACUACCAAAGCUGAAAGGCCUUCUAUACUUCCAUUCUGAUUUGAGGACAGUUUUCAUAUUUCAACUACCAUCCUGUCAAGCUUGGAGUCACAACUAUGAGGAAAUCAAAGAGCCUGAACCGAAUCUUCUCUUGUCCUUUGGGAACUUACAUAGUUAUUGUUUGAAUGGCUGUUAUUCAUAGGAUCUUGAUGUAAAAUGUGAUAGAACUUUCAAAAACAAGCUUGAAGCAAAUUGUUAGCAUGAAACAAAAGUAGAAGAGAAAAAGGGGGGAAAACCCAUGAACAAAACCGCAUCGGUUCAAUCGGUUCAGAAUGUUCAUCCAAUUAUCCGGUCUAUUCAUGCGUUCCAACUUCAAGUCAAUUCGGCUGACAGGGCUGUGAAAGAUGUUUCAUAAGUAGUCAAACACAAAGCUACUGCCCUUUGGAUUAAUUACCUAGACACAGACUAAGCAGCUAAGUAAAUAAAGUGUAGAGCUGAUACAUUGACUUUACUUGCGACUUUUAUCGUGUAAUGUUUGACCAAUAUUCUGAAAUUAAAUUAUUUCAUGUUAAGUACAUUUAACAAGUUUUUCAACACGACCUGCAUUACAUAUGUGUUAGUACUUAUAGAUUCAAAUAUGGCUUAACAAGCUACUCGGCCUUGUUUUGAGCUCUGGAAAAAUUGAGUCGAAAGUUCAAGGGGACAACAAGCACAUCAAACCAUGAAUACCUUGCGAGUAGCUUUCAACUACUAAUAUUCUACCAUUGUAAUCUAGUACAGGGUACAUGAAUAUUUGAGAGUGGUCUCAAAGAAAUUGCUUCGAUUGACACUUGAAUGUGUGAAACGGUGACCACAAUUUGGUGGAGUAUCAUCUCAUUAUAAACCAAUUAGAUGACCCUUAGAAGUUUUUUGUUCGAUAAAAAUGAGUAAAUUUUGGGAAGGGCUCUUUUCACCCUUCCAAAAAAUUUGUCCACGUUUUGUUAUUAGUCUUCAACUGCAGCCAAUGCAAGAGAGAAAUAGGUUUCAAGUGUGAAAAUAUAUACGGUUGGGUCUCUUCAGCUUUUAGAUUCAUGCUUAAAUAAAUCAAGUUUGAGAUUAUACAAUAAAAGUGAUUGCAAAAUGCAGACAUAUGAAUUUUCUGAGGUAACACCAGACCAGAGAGAUGAUUUUACACUACCGAACACCUUUCUUCUGUGUUCAAAAUUCAACCAAAUGAGAAACUACUGUCUUCUUGUAAACCUUUUCGCUGAAACUCUUGGCUGCAAUUGACAGAUUUUUUGCUGAUUCCAUGGCAUUCGAUUUUUCUAGUCGCAAAAUUGUAGCAUGAAGUGGACAUCUAAUUGGUAAUCUCCUUGACAAAUCUCAUUUUAUGCUUAACUUGCACAAAUAAAACCACCUGCACGUGCGGUCUUCCUGCAAGCGAUUUGUGCUUGCAAAGGACAAAUAACCCACAUGAGAAGAGGCUGCUUCAUAUCCAGAAUCCUUUGAAGAGUAUUGACAACACAGAGCACAUGAUAAACGCCACUAGGUUCGGAAUACAUUUUCAUAAUGACAUAGCUCAUUCCUGCCCGCAUAUCCAUCUUGUGGUGUUUGGGGACUUUCUCCAAGUUUCAUGAAAUGCAGCUUGAAUCUACACGAUGAGCAUAGGACUGACUCAUUAUCAAUAAAUAAAGAAAUGCGAGAUUGCAGCAUCACAAUUUACCCCAUGAAAGAUAAGGUACAAAUGCGAAAACAUCAUUUACACCAAUCGUUGUUCAACCACAGUGAACAGAGACUUCAUUAGCUAGCAGAUGAAAAAAAAAAAAAUAGGCUUAAAAGAAGUAAACAAUUAGCGACAACACUUUCCCCGUUUGUGUUCAGGAACAAAAUUAAUGUUAAUAAAAUUAUGCUGAAAAUGUGAAAUGCCUAAACUACAGAACAGAAAGACGUACUUGUUACUUGAUCAUUGGCAAUAUCCAAUCGGCAAAAUCAGCAACUCAGGAUAGAUUGUGAGGACGUCAGUUUCAACUUCACUAAUUCAAUACUGCAAACAUGAGAACUGAGCUUAUCAAAUUAGAAACCUAUACGACAACAUUCAAAGGAUAAACUGAUAGAAAUGGAGGAGCUUAGUGCAUAACUACCUCUGCAUAGCCUCAUCCCUAGAAUGCAACCACACCAAACAACUCUGCAUCAGGAUAACACACAAAAAUCACCAGCUACUCAUUUGAUUAACAAAGAGAUAUAACCUAACAAGCAUACAAACAACAGAUUCAAUUUAAAAAACUACAUUUACUAUCAUUCAGGUACAUGCUGUUGAGACCAGAUCAAGUGCUUUGGAUCUUCACAAGCAUCAAAACUUCCUCAGAACAUUCUGCUUGGCCCAUGAGCCUCUUCCAGUUUGGCACCUCAGCUGUUGCUGAUGCUUUCUCUGCAAAAUUGGUCUCGGGUAUGGAAUUUGAAGUUCCUUAGCCAAGUGAGCCACACCCAAUUCAGUCAUGUGAUAAAAUAAUUCCAUGACAACAAUAUGAUCAAAUGGGAUGUAAACUAAUCAGCAAAUUCUUGAGCUCCUCGCCCCAGCUUGUUUCACAGAUGGGCAAAAGAUAGUCCAGCUAUACAAAAGGUCAUCGAUAUAGCUGAUUGAAUUUAAGUCCCAAAGUAAGCCUUGAUCAUUACAUAGACCAACCAAACCUGUAAUAGAAGCAGCACCAGUUUACCUUGCUUGAUAUAUUUCAAGACAACAUUUUGACUACUGGUAAUUUUAAGAAAGGCACACAUUCAUAUAUGACAGACUAGCCAAAACUACUUUAACAUUUCUUAAUCACCAACCAAAAAUACACCGAUUCUCGUUCAAGAAAAAGACCCUAUAUAAACUCCAUCCACACUAGAGACUCAGACAAACCUUUGAUCGAAAAUUUGCAUAAAAACAACUCAAUACUCCACUCCAGAACCCAGUACUUGAUUGAGAAUUUGCCAAGCGGUGCGAGCUCCAUGCAUCCACCUGAGCGAAUCUGGAAGGGGAAAAGUAAUGCUGCUCUUCAAGAAUGAACUGGUCUCUCUACUUGGUUUUAGGUAUGAAAAUGUACAUGGUUGUGUCUCUUCUGCUUUUAGAUUCAUGCUUAAAUAAAUCAAUAUGACCAAAGCAAUUGCAAAAUGCCUACAUAUGAAUUUUCCAACGUAACCAGCCUAGAGAGAUCAUUUUACACUAAUGAACGCCUGUAUUUUGUGUUCUAAGUUCUUCCAAAUGAGAAACUAUUGUCUUCUUGAAAACCUUUAAUUUGAAACUCUUGGCUACAAUUGACAGAUUAUUUGCUGAUUCCACGGCAUUUGCUUUUUCAAGAAAAAAGCCUCUCCCAGUCUCAAAACUGCAGCUUGAAGUGGACAUCUAGAUGGUACUCUUGUUAACAAAUCUCAAUUUUUGCUUGACUUCACAUAUAGAACCACUUGCACAUGCGGUCUUCCUCCAAGCAAUUAGUGAUGGGGCCUUAGUUAAAGAAUAGCACGAUUUCAAAGCUUGCAAAGGACUAAUACACCACAUGAGAAGAGGUUGCCUUUAUCAAGAAUCAUUCGAGGAGUAUUAACAACAUGAAGCAAAUGAUAAACGCCAAUUGCAAAUAACUUUGGAAUGCCUUUCCAUACUGACAUAGCUCAUUCUUGCCCAUACCUCCAACCUGCAGUGUUUGGGGAGUUUCUCUGAGUUUCAUCAAAUGUAGCUUUCAUCUGCAUAAGAAGGAUAGCACCGACUAAUUAUAAUUAAAUGAAGAUAUCCAAGAUCAUAGCAUCAGAAUUUACCCCAUAACAGAUAAGGUAAAAAUGUGUAAACAUUGACACCAAUCGGAGUUGGACCACAAUGAAGAGCAUUAGCUGGCCAAUGACAAAGAAACCAACAGACUUAAAAGAAGUAAACAUUUAGCAACACUUUCCCUGUUUGUGUUUAGGAACAGAAUUGAAGCUAAAAAAAUUAUGCUGAAAAUGUGAAGUGCCUAAACUAUAGAACAGAAAGAUGCAUUUGCUACCGGGUUAUUUUGCAAGUUCCAAUUAGCAAAAUCAGCAAAGCGGAAUAGUUUGCGAGGAGAUCAAUUUCAACUUUACAAAUCCAAUGCCACAUACUUCAGAACUGAGCUUAUCAAAUCAGAAACCUAUAUUACAACAUUCAAAGGAUAUCAUCACACGAAUAAACUAAUAGAAAUGGAGGAGCCUAGCAAUGCAUACCUCCCUCUGCAGAGCCUCAUCAAUUCCGAAGUGAUAUAAUUAGAAUGCAACCACGUCGAACAACUGUGCAUCAGGGUAACAUGCAAAAAAUCAGUAGCUUAGUAUUUGAUGAAAGGAGAGCUAGAACCUAAUGAGCAUACAGAAAGCAUAUUUAAUUGAAAAAAAUACAUUUACAAUUAUUUAGGGAUGUGAUGUUGAGAUCAGAUCAAGUAUUUGAAUAUGCAGAAGCAUCAAAACUUCCUUGGGACACUCCAGCCAGCCCCAAAUUGUCUUUCAGUUUGGCAUGCAAGAUGGUCCUCAGCUGUUGCUGAUGCUUCCUCUACAAAAUCCCUCUUCUUUAUUUUGAUUGGUCUCAAGUAUGGAAUUUGAAGUUCCUCAGCCAAGUUAGCUACGCCUAAAUCAGAUGAUAAAACAAUUCCAUGGCAGCAAUAGGAUCAAAUGUGAUGCAAACCAAUUAGCAAAUUCUUGAGCCCCUCAUCCCAGCUUGUUUCACAGUCCGGGGAAAAAAUUUCUAAUUAUGCAAAAGGUCAUCAACACGGUUGAUUAAAUUGAAGUCCCAAAGUAAGCCUUGAUCAUUACAUAGACCAACCAAACCUGUCAUAGAAGCAACACCAGCUUACCUUGCUUGAUAAUAUUUCAAAAGAACAGUAUGACUACUAGUAAUGUUAAGGUGGUCUACAUUCAUAUAUGACAGACUAGCCAACACAACUUUUAACAUUUUCUUUGUCACCAAACAGAAACACUUGAACCUUGAAUUUUAUUUUAGCACAGUUCAUCAUAUUCCCAGAAGCGAUGAUCUUCUUAGAAGGUUAAUGAGGGACAUCAAGGGUACAAUAAGAAACUUGACGGGGGCUUCGUUCAUUACGGAAAAUCAAAAGGUGUUUGUCCCAAACAGGAUAUCUGCCAUUAGUCAAAUUUGACAUACAAAAGAACUUACAAAGGAACUCAAAAUGGCCAAGGACAUUUUUCAAAGAAAAUAUGAACAUUGGACAUUGGGAAAUUCCGAGCGUAGUAUACAAUAUCGAGUAGUAGAAGUUCAUCAGCCUGUAGAUGAAAAUUUCAAAUCCCGGGUUUUUCGAUAAGGGAAAUGUUAAUUACUAGGUAAUUCCUGUUUAUCUUUGUUGGUAUUUAUAUUCUUGCCUUGCAAGCUGCUAUAUGUUUGCAGUCUCCAAAAUCUGGCAAUGGAAGAAUAAACAAAAAACAUUGCUAUAACGUAAUCAACAGCAAUAAUAGAGGCAAAUCCAGAGUUUCCAAAAUCAGUCAAAUAGAUACCUAGUGUAGAGCAAAUCAUUCUAAAAAUUUCUCUUAUCACUCAUGCCAGCAAUUCAAGGAUGAAGAAUCUUACUAUGCUUUCUAUUGGGUCUACAUUGUGAUCUUGACUGAAGCAUCAUGUCUGCUUCUUGCCAGCUCCCCCACUCCUUCAAUUAUGUAAGACUAGCAAUUUAGACCCUGUCAUGGAAAGCCUUCUUCUCAGAAGAAGAUAGUUAUGUAAAGUUGGUCAUGAAUCUCAGAAGAAAAAUGAUUGUUCAUUGCUUAUUUACCUCUGUUGAAGAAACAUUACUCCUCUCACUGUUGUAAUAUGGGUGUAAGAUUUAUCACAUCAUUAUCACUGCAAGAUAAUGUUUCCAGAGAGAACUAAAAACAGAGGAGGUAGUUCAUAAUUUCUAAAGAUGCGCGUUCCAGAUAAGUUAGGUAUUGCUUCCAAUGAGUCACAACCAGAAAUAUCCAAAUCAAUUAAAUUCAACUUUUC